rnacentral:lncRNA from 1 species
CUUAUUUUACGUACAACUCAAAUCCCAAACUAACCAAAGUCGCUCAGUUGGGAUGGGUGGGAGAUGGUGGUUUGUGGGAUGGCUUCUGGGUAGGAGCUGGUGGCUUCUGUCCCUUUGGUGGUUUGCCUAAUGAGCUUGGUGGCUUGUGCUCCGGGAGUUGUUUCUCUCCCUCGAGUAGGUUUCGAGUCUUGUCAGAUGGCUUGUGUUCUGGUGGUGGCUUCUCUCCCUGGGGUGGUUUGCCGAAUGGGCUUGGUGGCUUGUGUUCGGGGAGUGGCUUCUCUCCCUGGAGAAGGUUACGAGUUUUGUCAUAUGGCUUUUGUUCUGGUGGUGGCUUCUCUCCCUGGGGUGGUUUGCCGAAUGGGCUUGGUGGCUUGUGUUCGGGGAGUGGCUUCUCUCCCUGGAGAAGGUUACGAGUUUUGUCAGAUGGCUUGUGUUCUGGUGGUGGCUUCUCUCCCUGGGGUGGUUUGCCGAAUGGGCUUGGUGGCUUGUGUUCGGGGAGUGGCUUCUCUCCCUGGAGAAGGUUACGAGUUUUGUCAGAUGGCUUUUGUUCUGGUGGCGGCUUCUCUCCCUGGGGUGGUUUGCCAAAUGGGCUUGGUGGCUUGUGUUCGGGAACUGGCUUCUCUCCCUUGGGAGGUUCAGUUGGUGGCUGCUGUUCCGUAGGUGGUUUCUUCACCGGCGGCUUGUGCUCCGGAAGCGGCUUCUCUACCUGGAGAAGCUUACGAGUUUUGUCCGAUGGCUUGUGUUGUGGUGGUGGCUUCUCUCCCUGGGGUGGUUUGCCAAAUGGAGUUGGUGGCUUGUGUUCGGGGAGUGGCUUCUCUCCAUUGGGAGGUUUAGUUGGUGAUUGGUGUUCCGUAGGUGGUUUCUGAAGUGGGGGAUGCUUGGGGUAGUCAGCAAGAGACGAGGUAGUGAGAACCACCAGUCCCAGCAGCAACACUAGCAAGCAUGUGGAAGACAUCUUUGAGUUCAGGCUGAGAUCUGUGCAAGGAUAACAGAAUUAGGUGGCCUUUUAUAGAGGCCUGGACCCAACACCCAUAUGACACGUGUCAUGCACUCAUGGUGACACAUAAUUCUAUGGGACCAUUUGGGUCCUACAGAAGUUGCAAAGUUGGACUACUGAGGUGUGAUCACAACUUUUGUCCUUAUUGCUUUCUCUGCGGCCAUUGCACGAUUUCCUUUAGCAUCAUUUUCUUGGCUAAAUAAGCGUAUUAUAUUUGUGGCAGACCGUCCACGUGUCAUAAACAGAUAUAUUAUAAUAAUGUAGUAUGCUUUUCUCCAAUGGAACAUGACACUCUUCUAAGUCUUGUUUUAAAUAUUGUGCAGGAUUACUUUAUACGUUGCAGUUCCAAGUCAAAAUUGGUGGGCAAACGUUGGCCUUUUUUCAUUUCACCUAAGAUUAAUGCUCACCUGGGAUAGGCACUACAUGACUUAUCUGCUCUUUUACUGUAAAGUUGCUUUGUGUAUGAGAUACACCUCCCCUGCACACCCUCAACAUUCGUUGCUCUGUUUUCCUUGUGUCCAGACGAGGAUAUUAAUUGGAGGCUGACAAAACGACUGCUAGCCCAGGAUUUACAAGGUCCUGGUUUGAGGCUUCGGUGAAAGUAUUUUUGAAAAGACACACAUAGAGAUAGUGCGUUUGGUGCAAUGCAGCACUGUGAGCCAUUCUGACGCGUUCUUAAUUUCAAAACUAAUGAAUGCUUCAAAAUUUUAAGAAGUGACAUUUCCAAAUAUUUGAGUUCGUUUAAUUGAACAUUGGAUAACUAGUGAUCAUAGAUUAUUAUCUGUGCUUGGCACUAUAAGAGGGUAUAUGCUUCUUUUUCUGGCCCCUCCUUCAAGGGAGGAGGGACAAUGUGAUCUGUAACGUUAGAAGCUAUUCCAUGUCAUCUUUGGGCUCAGUUCAAAACUAAAAGAUAAUGGGGGGGGGGGGGGGGGGCAUAUCAUUUUAUAUUUCUUCUAGAAGGUUUGUUCUGGAAAUAUUUCACAGGAGCAUAUCUUUUUCUUCUAUUACGUCAUCCGCAGCCUCCAAUAGGUCGGUUAACAAGCCACCGAGUUGAAAAGUUGGAAAAAUGGGAACACAGCCCGCCUCUUGUAUUCAGUAGUUAAAUAAAAGGUCACUAGAAGUGAGAUCCCUUUUGGCGUCUUGAUUUUCAAUCCAGCACCUCUGUGACCUGACAAACCAAAAAAACUAAAAAAUAAAAAACAGUACGUGGGUUGGUGUUAAGCAUCAAGACAUGUUAAUGAAAGAAGGUAGAGAAUAGGAUAUUGAAAUCCCAAUCCUGAUAACAUGAUUUUCUUUGCUAACAACCAUAUUAUAUUUUAUCAAGAAAGAGUAAUGCAUGUGGCGUCCAUCAAGACCCAUUAGAGUUCCGCUAAAGCUAUAGUUCUGUCAACGUUAUCAUUUACGUUUCCUCUAGAUAAUGGCAUUUUCCUCUAAAGCUCUUGCACCAUUAGGCUUCAAGUCAAAAUUUCACAUGUGAACUUUGGAAAUUUUCUCCAUUUGCCCCUAAGGAUACAGUUAGAAUUGACUUAAAAUCCUGAUUGAUAUGUACUAUUAACCAAAGAAUAUUGUAUAUAAUAAUUGAAAUAUUGUUGAUUCAUCGUGGAAAUACAUUUUGUAAGGAAAGUUGUUGAGAAUUUAGUAUGCUAUAUGGAGAAAAAAGUCAUGACUUAAGGUUGUGUAUGUAUAUUCUAUAUCAAAUAUUAGGUAGGAAUGUGGGAAAGAGCAGAGUGUAAUGAUAAGAAACAAAGAAAUAUAAGAUAUUCUUGAAAGUGGAAAAUAUAAAAUGGCUAACGAGUCAAAUUUAUGAUGCGUAAGGGGGAUCAUGUCACAUAAGAAAACCAUGGCAUACUAAAGACGUACGUGUGGUAUGGAGUAAUAAUUUUGUUAAAAUAAGUUUCUUGUUGGAGUACAUUAGGUGACUAUUCAUAACGUAUCAAAUUAAAGAGUCAAGUGCAUCAAUGAAGGCAUAUGUAGAAAAUUUGUUUGUGACAUGUACCAUAAAGAUAAGAUUGACUUGAUAGAAUUUAGUCUAAGUAGGAGUUGUUAAAGGUGUCUUAAAUUUCUAAUUGAUGUAUAUUUUUUUCUAAAAAAAUAUUAUAUAGAUAUUUUAAUAAAUGAUUAAUUCUUUGUAAAAAUACUUACAUAAUAAAAAACAUCAUUAAAAAUAUCUUUAUAAAUAUUUUAAGUUACAAGAAGGAAAAAAACCACUGUGAGAUAAUGAUGAACAUGCAACACUGUACCAAGUAAAUAAAAAUGUGAUAAAAAAAAAAGAGAAACACUCGAUAAAGGAAGGCUCGUAUAUAAAGAGUAAUAUUUUUAAUCAUAUGAUAGAAUGAUUUUCUCUCAUUCAUGAAUAUAGGCAAGAUUGGGGAACCAUUAUAAAAUUUUGUACACCUCGUGUAAAUUGAUGUUUGUCUUCAUAUUUUACACCAACAAAUGACAUUGAAGUUGUCAUUGAUAAAAGGGAAAAGGCAUGCCUCCACACCAUGUGCUUGAUUCGAAUGGUUCAAGUUUGAAGAAUUUUCUCCGGAAGAUCUAAAACAUUUUCGCCUUUAAAUUUCAUUUGAUUAUUAAUAUCCGAAAAAAUAGUUAAAUACUCUUUCUAUUUUUGAGUUGUUGAAUUUUUUGAAAGUUUUUAUAUUUGUUAUCAAGAAUUUCUAUUUUAUUAAGGGUGAAUAUUUAUAAAUAAGAUAUUAUAUAAUAUUUGGAUAAGAGAGAAUGGUGGAAUAUAAUAAAGUUUUAAUCCUUCCCAAUUUUGAACCUUUUUUUUUUUUUUUGAUAUAAUCGCCUUUCUCUUGCAAUCCUAUUAUCAGGUACCUUAUAUUUGCUGAUGCUAUCUGGAACUAAAUUCCAAUCAGGCAUUGUCCAAUUACUAAUAGGACAGAUCAUAUCUCUCUGUUUCUAAACUAACAUGUAUCGUAAUGUGACCUCAUAAGGAAGGCUAGGAAGAUGGAGGAUUUUGUGGGAAGCGACCAGAAUCAGAUGGAAGAGAGAUAGCCCUGUUGACCUAAUGGCUGUAAUAGGAGAAGCGUGUGGUUUUAUGGGACUUAACUGAUACUAAACCUGUAUGAUGCUUGGAGUGGUGUUUCUUUCAUUUUGUUAAGAAAAUAUGGCAGCAUACAUGCUUUCAACUGAGUGCAUCAGAGCAUCCAUAACAGAUGGUCUGCAACCCUAGGUGCAUGCCACUUUCUGACUGAUAAUGAAAUUGUCAGGUACCUGGCCUUGACUAAGCUCAACAGCAUCACAUAAAGAGAAGCUUUCAUACUUAGAUUACUGUUUAAAGUUUUUGCUUAUUUGAUUUCUUAAUGCCAUUAUGACAUUAUUGAUUCAAUUCUGCUUCCGAUUUUCGAAGUUCUGGGCAUCUACUGAUUGCAUCAUUAUAUGAGAAGUUGCAUGAGUUUAUGUAUCCUGUUAUUGUUCCUUUGCGAUUUCACUGCUCACGGGACUAACCUCUCCAUUCAGUCGAAAUGAAUUGUAAUUUCUUUACUGGUAGCAGUAGUACUUUUCAUAGCAAAGAUAAUAGAAAAUAUGAAAUAUAAAUAGAAGGAAAUCUGGAUUGUAGAUAGCACCAUAAGUAACACUCAAUAUUCACUACAUAAUAAAUAGACAGUGUUACAUAGGUAGAGAAACCUACAAUGAGUACUCAUCACCAUUCUCAAACAGAAACAUAGCAGCGACUUAUACAUAGAACCUAUAGGCUCGCAGGGAAAGAGUAACAUGAUAAGUUCACAGCGGGUAGCAGCUCUUAUUUUACGUAUUACUCAAAAUCUCAAACUAACCAAAGUCACUCAGUUGGGAUGGGUAGGAGAUGGUGGUUUGUGGGGUGGCUUCUGGGUAGGAGCUGGUGGCUUCUUUGUUGGAGUUGAAGGAGGCAUAUUCUUCUGAGGUGGCUUGUAUGACUCUUCGGCACUCUCUGCAGGAGGGUGCCCAGGGUUGUGACCAGAAGGAGGUGGCUUCUGUCCCUUUGGUGGUUUGCCUAAUGGGCUUGGUGGCUUGUGCUCCGGGAGUUGUUUCUCUCCCUCGAGUAGGUUUCGAGUUUUGUCAGAUGGCUUGUGUUCUGGUGGUGGCUUCUCUCCCUGGGGUGGUUUGCCGAAUGGGCUUGGUGGCUUGUGUUCGGGGAGUGGCUUCUCUCCCUGGAGAAGGUUACGAGUUUUGUCAGAUGGCUUUUGUUCUGGUGGCGGCUUCUCUCCCUGGGGUGGUUUGCCAAAUGGGCUUGGUGGCUUGUGUUCGGGAACUGGCUUCUCUCCCUUGGGAGGUUCAUUUGGUGGCUGGUGUUCCGUAGGUGGUUCCUUCACCGGCGGCUUGUGCUCCGGAAGCGGCUUCUCUACCUGGAGAAGCUUACGAGUUUUGUCAGAUGGCUUGUGUUGUGGUGGUGGCUUCUCUCCCGGGGGUGGUUUGCCAAAUGGACUUGGUGGCUUGUGUUCGGGGAGUGGCUUCUCUCCAUGGGGAGGUUUAGUUGGUGGUUGGUGUUGCGUAGGUGGUUUCUGAAGUGGGGGAUGCUUGGGGUAGUCAGCAAUAGACGAGGUAGUGAGAACCACCAGUCCCAACAGCAACACUAGCAAGGAUGUUGAAGACAUCUUUGAGUUCAGGCUGAGAUCUGUGCAAGGAUAAAAGAUUUAGGUGGCCUUUUAUAGAGGGCUGGACCCAACACCCAUAUGACACGUGUCAUGCACUCAUGGUGACACAUAAUUCUAUGGGACCAUUUGGGUCCUACAGAAGUUGCAAAGUUGGACUAUUGAGGUGUGAUCACAACUUUUGUCCUACUUGCUUUCUCUGCGGCCAUUGCACGAUUUCCUUUAGCAUCAUUUUCUUGUCUAAAUAAGCGUAUUAUAUUUGUGGCAGACCGUCCACGUGUCAUAAACAGAUAUAUUAUAAUAAUGUAGUAUGCUUUUCUUCAACGGAACUUGACACUCUUCUAAGUCUUGUUUUAAAUACUGUGCAGGAUUACGUCAUAAGUUGCUUGUUCCAAGUCAAAAUUGGUGGGCAAACGUUGGCCUUUUUUCAUUUUCCCUAAUAUUAAUGCUCACCUGGGAUAGGCACUACAUGAUUUAUCUGCUCUUUUACUGUGAAGUUGCUUUGUGCAUGAGUUACACCUCCCCUGCACACCCUCAACAUUUGUUGCUCUGUUUUUCUUGUGUCCAGACGAGGAUAUUAAUUGGAGGCUGACAAAACGACUGCUAGCCAAGGAUUUACAAGGUCCUGGUUUGAGGCUUUCACGAAAGUAUUUUUGAAAAGAUACACAUAGAGAUUGCGCGUUCGGUGCAAUGCAACAAUGUGAGCCAUUCUGAAGUCUUAAAUUUCAGAUUAAUGAAUGCUACAAAAUUCUAAGAAGGGCCGUUUCCAAAUAUUUGAGUUCAUUCAUCCGAACAUCGGGUAUAUGCUUCUUUCUCUAGCCCCUCCUUGAAGGGAGGAGGGACAAUGUGAUCUGUAUCGUUAGAAGCUAUUCCAUGUCGUCAUCUUUGGGCUCAGUUCAAUACUAAAAGAUAUGGGCGGGGCCCUUAUCAUUUUAUAUUUCUUCUAGAAGGUUUAUUCUGGAAAUCUUUCACAGAAACAUAUCUUUUUCUUCUCUACGUGAUCCGUGGUUUGAAAGUUGGAAAAAUGGGUCCGUUAACAAGCCACCGAGUUGAAAAGUUGGAAAAAUGGCAACACCGCCAACCUCUUGUAUUCGAUAGUUAAAUAAAAGGUCACUGGAAGUGAGAUCCCUUUUGGCCUCUUGAUUUUCAUUCCAGCAUCUCUAUGGCCUGAUAAAUUAAAAAACUAAAAAAAAAGACAGUACGUGGGUUGGUGUUAAGCAUCAAGAGUCAAGACAUGAUAAUGGAGAGAAAGGAUAUUCAAAUUCCAGUUCUGACAACAUGAUUUUCUUUGCUGAACUACCAUAUUAUAUUUGAUCAAGAAAGAGUAGUGCAUGUGGCCAGGAUCAAGACAUACAUUAAUUUCCACAUGAUGAAGACAGUUUCUGAGAGUUUCUUCUAAAGCUCUUGCGCGAGUAGGCUUCAAGUCAAAAUCUCCCAUGUAAACACUGGUUUUUCUUUCAUUGCCACUAAGGAUGCAGUUAAUAUUGACUUAAGAUCCUACGUGAUAUAUUUUUUUAAAAGAGCUAUAUUGUAGAUAAUAUUUGAAAUAAUGUUGAUUCGUUGUGGAAAUAUAUUUGUAAGGAAAGUUGUUGACAAUUUAAUAUAGUAUAAGAAGAAAAAAGUUAUCAACUAGCUAGAGAUGAGUAUGUAAAGUGAGGCUCACGAUUCAACGCGUAAAUAUAAGAUAUUUUAAGGCUCAAUAGUUAUGAUAUCUAUUUUAUUUUUUGUAUCUCAUAUAUUCAAAGAUAUAGUAAAAUGAUUUUACAUAUAUAUAUAUAUAUAUAUAUGAACAUAACUAUUUGUGCCAAUUGAUUUUUAUCUUUAUUUUGUAUAUUAGUAAUUAUAUUAAAGUUUUUACUAAUAUAAUAACUAAUAUAAAAGCUUUUUCUAAAAGAGUCAACAGAGCAAAACACUUAUUAUAAAAAAUAAUUUUGAUUGAAGGUGGAGUCAAUUAUUCUUUAUUUAACAUGUAAUGCAUACGGCGUGUACUUCAUAACUAAAGUAUAUAAGUGUAACAUCUCUUAUAUAUUCUCAUUCAAUCUCGAAAGUGGAAAUUUUAAAAAGAUUAAACGGUUCAAAUUUGUCGUGCAUAAAGGGGAUCAUGUCACAUAAGCAAACCAUGGCAUACCAAAGACAUAGGUAUGGACUAAGAAUUUUUUUCAAAUAAGUUUCUUAUUAGGGUACAUUAAUAGGUGACUUUUUAUGACAUAUCAAAGGAGUCAAGUGCACCAAUAAAAACAUAUAUAGAAAAUUCAUGCAUGACAUGUAUCACUAAGAGAAGAUUGACUUGAUAGAGUUUAAUCCAAAUAGGAGAUUGUUAAAAGGUGUCUCAAAUUCUUGAUUGAUAUAUAUUUUUUUUAUUAAAAAGGUUAUUAUAUAGAUAUUUCAAUAGACUAUUAAUUCUUUGUAAAAAUAGUUAUAUAAUGAGGAUGGUGAUUAAAAAUAUCUCUAUCAAUAUUUUGGAUUAUAAAAAGAAAAAAAAUGAGAUAAUGAUAAACAUAUAAAACUUGUACAAGUAGAUAAAGAUGUGAUGAAAGACACUUGAUGAAUGAAGGCUUUGUAUUUCAAGAUAUAAAUAUAUGGAGCAAAACUCUUAAUUAUAUGAUCAAAUGAUUCUCUCAUAUUCAUGAAUAUAAGCAGGAUUGGGGAACCAUGAUAGAAUCUUAUAUGCCUCUCCAUGUAGAGUGAUCGAUGUUUAUCUUCAUAUUUUACACCAGUGAAUGACAUUGAAACUCUUAUUGAUAAAAGGGAAAAGGCAUGGCCUCCACCCCAAGAAAAACAAGUAACCUCGGUUUAAAUCACUAGUCUACACCCCGAAGAGAGAACUAGCCAAACCUACUAAAAGAGAAACUUAACAAUUUAGAAAGAAACCGUCCAUGAUAAAGGGCCCCUAAAGGUCCAAUUCAGUGAGGUCGUGAACAAAAACACUUUCAUGUCAAAACAGAGAUAGGUACCACCAAAAUGUAAAGGGAAAGAUGUAAACCACGUCGAACUUUGGUAAUCAAUGGUAAAGAUAGCAUGAUAGCUAAAAGCACUAAAGCUGUGCUUGGUAUGCAAAAAUGAAAAGUGGAAAUCAGCGUCUUAUUCUUUUUCACCUUUAUUCACAUAUUAGGAUAACUAAUAUCUAAUGUUUUUUAUGUCUCAAAUUCUAUUCCAUGUUAUGGUAAACUUUCAUCUUGUUUAGAUCACUUUUGUCUGGUUUGGGCUCAAGACGAUAAGCCUAUAGAGACUUCAUAUUGGGUUGAAUCGAUGCCCUUGAUCUGAUCUGUUCGUUAGAAAAAUCUGAAUUAUUAUAAGCAUUUAGAUAAAAAAUAAAUAAAUGUGAAACACAAACUACUCCCUGCACAACCUUGACCCUAGUUACUCAGUUUCACUGCUCACAGGACUAACCUCUCCAUUCAGUCGAAAUGAAUUGUAACAAGAAGAUUUUUGACAGGAGGACGGUAGUUUAAAAUAAUAAUUUCUAAAGUACUUUUGUGAAAAAAAAUAAUUCCAAACGUGGAUUUUAUCAAGUAAAAAGAAAAAAAAAAGUUAUUUUCUUUUAAAAUCUGUUCUUCUAAAGAUGAUAUAUAUACCAAAAAAAAAAAUUGUUUUCUGAAGGUAAAAUUUUUAAAAUUCAUUUUUAAAAAAAUUUACACACUAAAAUUAUCUUUUCAAGAGAAGAUUUUUUUAAUUUUAAAUAAUUAUUAAUUUAUAAUUAAUUUGUUAUUAAUUAUUUAUUAAUUUUUUUAUUUGAAAAAUGCAUUUAUAAAAAACAAAUUUGUUAUUAAUUUAUUAAAUAAUUUUUACAAAAUAAAUAAUUUUUUUUUAUUUUAAUUUUAAAAUUAAUUUUAUUAUAUAAAUUUUAAAAUUAAAAAUAUUAAUAUUUAAUUUAAAAUUUAACUAUAAAAGGAAUAAAAUAUAGAAAAAUAAAUUAAUUUAUUAUUCAAUAAAUUAAUUUUCAAUAAAAUUUUCAGCAUUAAGAGAUAAAUUUUUAAGUAUUAAUCAAUUUAAAAAGAAAUAAUGAUCAUUUGUAUAUUAAGAUAUUUUAUUUAGUAAUUAUGAAUGAUAAACAACUAAAGUAAUUUGAAAAAAUAAUAAAAUAUUUAAAAAAUAAUAAUUUAAUACACGUAAAAUUAGAAAUGAUUAACUAUUUUUUAUUAAGAAAAAAUUGAGGAAAUAUUUUGUUAUUUAAAAUUUUUUAUUUGUUUUCAAUUUUUAAUGUUAUAGGUUUCAAGAAAAUUGAUCAAAUAAAAAUUAAGAAGUCAUUUUUUCAAAAACUAUAUAUCUAAAUAAAAGCCUUGAAAUUCAAAUACACAAUAUCAUAAAUAUAAACACCAAGUCAAUCCUUAAUUAUCAAAUGUUUUUAAUAUUAAAGAAUCAAAAUCACCUACUAUCAUGAUAAUAAGAAAACCAAUAAUAUUGUUCAUAUAAAUACUAAAAAGCUAACAAAUAUCCCAAACAAUUAAUAAAGUAUCAAACAUGAUAAAAAGUCAAUUAUUAUCAUGAAUGCAAAAAAUCAAUAAUUUUGUUUAUAUGAACCAUCAACAAAGAAAAAAAAAAUCAAUAUCUAAAUAUUAAACAUAAUUUAUAUUUUUAUAAAUAUUAUUGUUGAUAAAUAUCUUAACAAUUAUAAUUUUAGUAAAUAAAAUUAAUUAAUUUUAGUUUAAGAAUUAUUUUUUUAUACUUUCGUAUUCUUAUCAAAAAUCCCCAUUUUGCAUGUCUCCUUUGGCAUGACUUUCUUACCUAAACAAGCAUAUAUAUAUAUAUAUAUAUAUAAAAUAUUUGGUUAAGAAAGAGUACUAAAGUUUAUAUGGCACACAUCAAGAUAGAAACAGAAGUGGAAGAUAAUCCAAAUGUAUGAACAGAUAUAUUAUAUCCAUGUAGUGGUAGUGACUUCAUUAUUUACUUUUAUCUAAUGGAGCAUGACACACUUCUUCUGAAUAUUUUGCACGAUUAUGUUAUGUGUCAGCUUGUUCUAAGUCAAAACUAGUGAUAAAAAUCGGUUUUUUUUGCAUUUCCUUCAUGAAGAUGGCACCUGGAUGGGGCACUACAUGAGUGGCAUAGCACGAAGUGAUUUAUCUGCUCCCUUUACUAUAAAGUGCUUUGUGUAUAAGUUACACCUCCCCUGCACUGCCUCAACAUUUGUUGUUCUGUCUUCCGUCUGUCCAAACGAGGACAAACGUAUGUUGUAGGUUGACAAAACCACAGCUAGCCUAGGAUUUGCAAGGAUCUAGUUUGAUUCGUAUGCAAAAGGAUUGGUGAAAAGAUUCACAAAGAUAAUGCUUUUUGCAAUGCAAUCUUGUUCUAAUUCAACAGUGUGGACCAUUUUCAUGUAAUGCUUCAACUAGAUGUCAGUUUCAUGAAUUUUUGUUCAUCUAAUUGAUCACUGGAUAGGCCAUAACCCGAAGAAAUUCAAAAUUCCCUUCAGUACUGUAGCUAAGGAAAGAUCCCUAUCUACCACUGGGAUUUUAAGAGGGUAAAAAUGUAGGUGGGUGCCUAUAUCAUUUGCACUUCACUAUAGGCCUCUUUGGGAAGAUUUCUUCUGAAGACAUUUCAAAGAAACAUAUUUUUCUCUUCUCUCCGUAAACGGCAGCUGCAAGUCAGUCCAUUCACAGGCCACCGAGUUGAAAAGGCUGGAAAAUUGGCCAAAGCACCCGCCUCCUGGAUUCCAUGGGUAAGGAAAAGGUCACUGGAGGUGUGAUCCCUGUUGGCCUCUUGAUUUCCAUUCCGCCAUCUAUAUGACCUGAUAACCCAAAAACACAGAAGGAAAACGUCACCUGGGUUCAUAGUAAGCAUCAAGUCAUGAUAGAGACCAGACAACAUGACCAACAAAGAGUAGCGAAUGGGGCCAACAUCAAGCCCCAUUACGGUUAGAAGAUGGAAGAAGUAGAAGACAAUCCAAUUCUGAUAGAUUCGGGCAAAUGUAGUGCUGUUCAAACUUAAUCAUUUACUAUUUCUUCAUGAAUCACGGCAUUUUUCUUCUGAAAAUUUUCCAAGAUUAGGCCUCUGAAGAAAAAUUUCAUAUGUAAAUUGGUAUAUUAAGGAAAAGGCGUUACAAAGGUGAAAAAAAACCAAUCAAAUCUUAUAUAUGACAUCUCAAAAAUAUGAACUUGCUAUAAAUAUUUAAAAUCAAAAUCUUGCACAUCACCUCGUAGUACGAACUUGCUAUAAAACUUGAAAAUCAAGAAGAAAGGGGCAGUAUUGGACGAGACUACUUAGCACAUAUUAUUAUGAUGUUUUUUCAUUUUCUUAAUGUUGUUUUUAUGUCUUAAAUUCUAUUAUUCUAUGUUACGGUAAACAUUCAUCUUGUUUGUGUGGAAUAGGAUCACUUUUCUCUGGGUUGAGUCGAUGCCCUUAGUUAAUUUGUUCAUUUGAAUAAACUAAAUUAUUAUAAGUAUUUAGAUAAGAAAAACGUGAUACAUAAAUUACGCCUCUCGGCACAACUUCAACACUGGUUACUCUGUUUCAGUUUCCUCACACAAGAUUAUUGGUUCUAGGGUUUAUUUGGUUUUGGUUUGAUUCUAAUUGCUAAACUUUCUCAAGGAAGAUGUUAUAUAGGGAGUGAGAAACCUUCACUCUUGGCUACCUCCAAGAGAAGAGCAAGUGGUCUGAAUCAAAGAUAUACUGCUCACUUUUUCUUCUUCUAAGGACAGCUAUGACCUUGCUUUAAGGUUCGAAUAGCCUAAUGCAACCUCCCAUUUCUCAAGUCAGCUGAUGAUGUAAGUCACCUUGGCUUUCCACAUUCAUACGGUGAGGACGUUUGUGGGUGUAAUUCUCUUAACAGUUUUCAUUUUAUAUGGAAAAAUUCAUAAUUAAGGGUAAUUACUGAUUCCAUUUGACAGUGACCAAGUUUAAAAUAUUAAUUCAUAUAUUAAAUGCACAUUAAAAAAUCAUGGAAUAAAUAUAUUUACUAAUAUAUAGUUCUUUUGCCAUGUUCUGUCACAGAAGCAUCGAACUUUCCCUAGAAAUUUUUGCAUGGUAUUCUACUUAUGAUUUUGAAAACUCUAGGCACCUGAGGCCACUAAUUGCAUGGUUGGAUGAGGAGCUGCAUGAGAUUAUGUAUCGUGUUGUUCCUUAACUACAAAUAUCAGUUUUAAGUAGCAUCUCCAUGUGACAUUUUCCUGAUGCAAUUUCGCUGUCCACCAACAAAUUUCACCAUGCAGCAAGAUGAAUUGUAAUUUCUUUAUUGUUAUCAACAGCUUUAAUUAAUCUUGAUAUAUAUAUAUAACUUAGUAGAAGUAUAUUAAUCUAGAUUGUAGUUGCACUAAGAUAAUAGGCAAUAUUAUAACAGUGCCACAAUGCUCAUCGCCAAAUAGAAAGGUAGAAAAACUACAAUGAGUAACUCACAACAUUCUCAAACAGGACAUAGCGGCGACUGAUACAUAGAACACUAUUGGCACUCAGGAAAUGAUAAGAUCAGUGCCCAGCAGGCAGCACGUCUUAUUUUACAUACUACUUAAAACUAACCAAAGUCAUUCAGUUGGGAUGGGUGGGAGAUGGUGGUUUGUGCGGUGGCUUUUGGGUAGUUGGUGGCUUCUUUCCUGGAACUGAUGGUUUUUUUGUUGGAGUUGAAGGAGGCUUAAUCGUCUGAGGUGGCUUGUAUGAGUCUUCAGCACUCUCUGCGGGAGGGUGCCCAGGGUUGUGACCAUAAUGGGGUGGCUUCUCUCCCUUAGUUGGUUUGCCAAGUGGGCUGGCUGGCUUGUGCUCCGGGAGCGGCUUCUCUCCCUUAGGUGGUUUGCCAAAUGGGCUUGCUGGCUUGUGCUCUGGGAGCGGCUUCUCUCCCUCAAGAAGUUUACGGGUUUUGUCAGAUGGCUUGUGUUCUGGUGGUGGCUUCUCUCCUUGGGGUGGUUUGCCAAAUGGACUUGGUGGCUUGUGUUCGGGGAGUGGCUCCUCUCCCUUGGGAGGUUUAGUUGGUGGCUGGUGUUCCAUAGGUGGUUUCUCAACCGGGGGCUUGUUCUCCGUUGGUGGUUUAUGAACUGGGGGAUGCUUGGGGUAGUCAGCAAGAGACGGGGUGGUGAGAACCACCAGUCCCAGCAGCAACACUAGCAAGUAUGUGGAAGAGUACAUCUUUGAGUUCAGGCUGAGAUUUGUGCGAGACUUGAAGAAUUAGGUGGCCUUUUAUAGCUGGCUGCACCCAACACUCACAUGACACGUAUCAUGGUGACACAUGUGCUAUGGGUCCAUUUGGGUCCUACAGAAGCUGAAAACUUUUGACUAUUGAGGUGUGGUCACAACUUUUGUCCCUAUUGCUUUCUCCGCAACCGUUUUACAUGUUUCCUUUGGCAUAAUUUUCUAAGCUAAACAAGCAUAUAUCAUAUUUGGUUAAGAAAGAGUAAAGUGUAUAUGGCACACAUCAAGGAAGAGAAACAGAAAAAGUGGGAGACAAUCAAUUGUGAUAAACAGAUAUAUUAUAUUCAUGUAGUACUAGUGACUUUAUCAUUUACUUUUAUCCAAUAGAUCAUCACUCUUUCUUCUAAAUAUUUUGGAGGAUAAUGGUACAUGUUGCUUGUUUCCAAGUCAAAAUUGGUGGCAAAAAUCGGCAUGAUACGAAAGGAUUGGUGAAAAGAUUCACAUAGAUGGUGCUUUGUGCAAUGCAGUCUUGCUCUAAUUCAACAGAGUGGACCAUGGUGAUGUAUUUUAAAUUUUAAAUUUUAAAUUAAUGCAUGCUUCAAAGUUUUAACUAGAUGUCACUUCCAUGGAUUUUUGUUCAUUUAAUUGAGCACAGGAUAGGCUAUCAAACUUGAAGUAAUAUAAAAAUCCCUUCAUUACUGUAACUAAUGAAAGAUCAUUAUCUGCGCUUGGUAUUUUGCCAAGGUAUUUGCUGCUCUUUCUAGCCCUGUCUUACAGUUAAGGACAAUGUGAUCUAGUUAACCUUAGAAGCUAUUCCAUGUCAGAUACAAGAGAUCAAGCACAUUAUCUUUGGGCUCAGUUCAAAACUAUAAUAUAUGGGUGGGGUGGAGGCCCAUAUCAUUUGCAUAUCACCACUAUUGGUUUAGUUUGGAAGGUUUCUUCUGGAAGAUUGCUGCUUUCUGGAAUCAUUUCAAAGAAAUAUAUCUUUUUGUUCUCUUGGUGACGAGCAGCGGCAAUCAAGUCUGUUGACAAACAACCGAGUUGAAAAGUUUGAAAAUUGGUCACAGCCCACGUCCAUGGUUAAGGAAAAGGUCACUGGAAGUGAUCCCUUCUGGGCCUCUUGAUUUCCAUUCUGACAUCUAUAUGACCUGAUAAAUAGAAAGAAAAAAAAACAGAAGAAAAGCGGCACCCGGGUUCAUAGUAAGCAUCAAGACAGGAUACUGAAAGAAGGGAGAAAGGAGAUUGCAAGUCCAAUCCUGAUAAAAUGAUCAACAAAGAGUAUCAAAAUGGGGCCAACAUAAAGACCCAUUGAGGUUAGCAGAUGGCAUGGCAUUUUUCUCCUUAAGUUUUCCAUGAUUAGACUUGAAGUCAAAAUUUCACAUGUAAAUUUGUAUUUCUACAUUUCCCACUGACGACACCCAACUUCAACUUGAGUUAGAAUAACAUUGUGUGAACUUAUCUGGCCCUCAAAAUUUACUGUGAAGUGCUUUCUGCGUGUGAAGAUUCAGAAAAGCACCAAGGGAACAUGUAUGGUCUGCCUUUUUCUGAUGUUAUGUUUGUCUCUAAUUCUGUUCCAUGUCAUGGUAAAUGUUCACAUUGCUUGUAUGGAACACACCAGGAUCACUUUUUCGGGUUUAUUUUGAGGCUUCAUAUUGGGUUCAUAUUGGGUUCAAUGCUUUUAAUGUGUUCAUUAGACAAAUCUGAAUUAUCAUAUGCAUUUAGAUAAGAACAAUAAUGUGAAACCCUAGUUACACCUCCCCUGCAUAACCCCAACCCUGCUUACUCUAUUUCAGUUUACUCACACAAGUUUUACCGGUUCUUAUAAGUCAAGAAAAGGCAACUGAUGUUGGAUUGACUCUCUUCCAUGUAUAAAAAGCAACUUUUAUAUAUACAUAAAAUAACUUCUUCCCCUCACCAAUGUGGGAUAUCAUGGAUUUAUUCUGGAAACACAUCAAAGGAACAUCUUUUCUCUUGGGUGACCCUAAGUGGUGAGUCAGACCAUUUGCAUGCCAUUGAGUUGCACAGUUGGAUAAAUGCACCUACCUCCUGGGCUCCAGAGUUAAAAGGGUGGAUCCCUGGAUCGCAACCCUCUUGGCAUCUUGGUUUCCAUUCCAACAUCCACAUGACUUGACAAAACAAAAAACAGAAUAAAAUCAUCACUAUUUUCAUGCUAAGCACCAAUACAUGAUGGAAAUCAUUGCUUAAAGAUUUGGGGUCAUUUAGGUUUUGACUGCCUCCUAACACCUCACCUAAUCACAAGUUUUUAUGCUUACAAAUCAAAUAUCGUUCUUCAUUAUAUUAAAAUCAUUUUAAGAUUUCAGAUCCAUCUGCUAAUUAUGAUUAUGAUAACAUUAAUUCACCUGUGCUUCUCAUUUUCGACACACAAGGCAUCUAGGUUUGCAGGAUUUCCUUAUUAGAUGAGAUAAAUGAGUACGCAUGGUUAUGUAUGCAGCAUUCAUUAACCAUGGUAUGUGACAUUUAGAAUUAAGAUAGCAAGCAAACUUUCCCUGCAGCUUGAGUAAAUUGUGAUUUCUUAGCCUCUAUGAGUGGUUCCCAAAUCAAAUUAACAUAGUGAAAUAUACGUAGUCCAGUGAAAGGAAAUGUAAAUUAUAAACUAACAGCACUACACUACUGGUAACACUCGAUACUCUCUAUAUAAUGCAAUGAAAUAUACGUUAUACGUUGCUUGUUCCAAGUCAAAAUUUGUGGCCAAACGUUGGCCUUUUUUCAUUUUCCCUAAGAUUAAUGCUCACCUGGGAUAGGCACUACAUGAUUUAUCUGCUCUUUUACUGUAAAGUUGCUUUGUGUAUGAGUUACACCUCCCCUGCACACCCUCAACAUUUGUUGCUCUGUUUUCCUUGUGUCCAGACGAGGAUAUUAAGUGGGGGCUGACAAAACGACUGCUAGCCAAGGAUUUACAAGGUCCUGGUUUGACGCUUCCGCGAAAGUAUUUUUGAAAAUAUACACAUAGAGAUUGCGCGUUCGGUGCAAUGCAACAAUGUGAGCCAUUCUGAAGUUUUUAAUUUCAGAUUAAUGAAUGCUACAAAAUUCUAAGAAGGGCCGUUUCCAAAUAUUUGAGUUCAUUUAUCCGAACAUCGGAUAAGUAAUGAUCAUAGAUUAUUAUUAUUAUCUGACGUUCUUAUAAUGGUUGGCAUUAUAAGAGGGUAUAUGCUUCUUUCUCUAGCCCCUCCUUCAAGGGAGGGACAAUGUGAUCUGUAUCGUUAGAAGCUAUUCCAUGUCGUCAUCUUUUGGCUUAAGUCAAUACUAAAAUAUAUGGGCGGGGCCCCUGUCAUUUUAUAUUUCUUCUAGAAGGUUUGUUCUGGAAAUCUUUCACCGAAACAUAUCUUUUUCUUCUCUACGUGAUCCGUGGUUGGAAAGUUAGAAAAAUGGGUCCGUUCACAAGCCACCGAGUUGAAAAGUUGGAAAAAUGGCAACACCGCCAACCUCUUGUAUUCGAUAGUUAAAUAAAAGGUCACUGGAAGUGAGAUCCCUUUUGGCCUCUUGAUUUUCAUCCCAGCAUCUCUAUGUCCUGAUAAACUAAAAAACUAAAAAAAAAACAGUACGUGGGUUGGUGUUAAGCAUCAAGAGUCAAGACAUGAUAAUGGAGAGAAAGGAUAUUCAAAUUCCAGUUCUGACAACAUGAUUUUCUUUCCUGAACAACCAUGUUAUAUUUGAUCAAGAAAGAGUAGUGCAUGUGGCCAGGAUCAAGACAUACAUUAAUUUCCACAUGAUGAAGACAGUUUCUGAGAGUUUCUUCUAAAGCUCUUGCGCUAGUAGGCUUCAAGUCAAAAUUUCCCAUGUAAACACUGGAUUUUCUUUAAUUGCCACUAAGGAUACAGUUAAAAUUGACUUAAAAUCCUACGUGAUAUAUAUCUUUAACAAAAGUAUAUUGUAUAUAAUAUUUGAAAUAAUGUUGAUUCGUUGUGGAAAUAUGUUUGUAAGGAAAGUUGUUGACAAUUUAAUAUAGUAUAAGAAGAAAAAAGUUAUCAACUAGAGAUGAGUAUGUAAAGUGAGGCUCACGAUUCAACGCGUAAAUAUAAGAUAUUUUAAGGCUCAAUAGUUAUGAUAUCUAUUUUAUUUUUUGUAUCCCAUAUAUUCAAAGAUACAGUAAAAUGAUUUUAUAUAUAUGAACAUAGCCGAUAGUAUCAUGUUAAAACCUUAUAUGACUCUUUGUGCCAAUUGAUUUUUAUCUUUAUUUUGUGUAUUAGUAAUUAGUAUUAAAGUUUUUACUAACAUAAUAAUUGAUAUAAAAGCUUUUUCCAAAAGAGUCAAACAGAGCAAAACACUUAUUAUAAAAAGAAUUUUGAUUGAAGGUGGAGUCAAUUAUUCUUUAUUCAACAUGUGAUGCAUACAGCGGGUACUUCAUAACUAAAGUAUAUAAGUGCAACAUCUCUUAUACAUUCUCAUUCAAUCUCGAAAGUGGAAAAUUUUAAAAGAUUAAAUGGUUCAAAUUUUCCGUGCAUAAAGGGGAUCAUGUCACAUAACCAAACCAUGGCAUACCAAAGCCAUGAUAUGGACUAAGAAUUUUGUUAAAAUAAGUUUCUUAUUAGGGCACAUUAUGUGACUAUUUAUGACAUAUCAAAGGAGUCAAGUGCAUCAAUAAAGACAUAGAAAAUUCAUGCAUCACAUGUACCACUAAGAGAAAAUUGACUUGAUAGAGUUUAGUCCAAAUAGGAGAUUGUUAAAAGGUGCAUCAAAUUCUUGAUUGAUAUAUAUUUUUUUUAUUAGAAAGGUUAUUAUAUAGAUAUUUCAAUAGACUAUUAAUCCUUUGUAAAAAUAGUUAUAUAAUGAGGAUGGUGAUUAAAAAUAUCUCUAUCAAUAUUUUGGAUUAUAAAAAGAAAAAAAAUAUGAGAAAAUGAUAAACAUAUAAAACUUGUACAAGUAGAUAGAGAUGUGAUGAAAGACACUUGAUGAAUGGAGGCCUUGUAUUUCAAGAUGUAAAUAUAUGGAGCAAAACUCUUAAUUAUAUGAUCAAAUGAUUCUCUCAUAUUCAUGAACAUAAGCAGGAUUGGGGAACCAUGAUAGAAUCUUAUAUGCCUCUCCAUGUAGAUUGAUCGAUGUUUAUCUUCAUAUUUUACACCAAUGAAUGACAUUGAAACUCUGAUUGAUAAAAGGGAAAAAGCAUGGCCUCCACCACAAGAAAAACAAGUAACCUCGGUCUAAAUCACUAGUCUACACCCCGAAGAGAGAACUAGCCAAACCUACUAAAAGAGAAACUUACCAAUUUAGAAAGAAAUCUUCCAUGAUAAAGGGCCCCUAAAAGUCCAAUUCAGUCAGGUUGUGAACAAAAACACCUUCAUGUCAAAACAGGAAUAGGUACCACCAAAAUGUAAAGGGAAAGAUGUAAACCAAGUCGAACUUUGGUAAACAAUGGUAAAGAUAGCAUGAUAGCUAAAAGCACUAAAGCUGUGCUUGGUAUGCAAAAAUGAAAAGUGGAAAUCAGCGUCUUAUUCUUUUUCUCCUUUAUUCACAUAUUAGGAUAACUAAUAUCUAAUGUUUUUUUUAUGUCUCAAAUUCUAUUCCAUGUUAUGGUAAACUUUCAUCUUGUUUAAGUGGAAGAGUAGGAUCACUUUUGUCUGGUUUGGGCUCAAGACGAUAAGCCUAUAGAGACUUCAUAUUGGGUUGAAUUGAUGCCCUUGAUCCGAUCAGUUCGUUAGAAAAAUCUGAAUUAUUAUAAGCAUUUAGAUAAAAUAAAUAAAUAAAUGUGAAACAGAGACUAUUCUCUGCACAACCUUGACCCUAGUUACUCAGUUUCACUGCUCACGGGACUAACCUCUCCAUUCAGUCGAAAUGAAUUGUAAUUUCUUUACUGGUAGCAGUAGUACUUUUCAUAGCAAAGAUAAUAGUAAAUAUGAAAUAUAAAUAUAUAGAAGGAAAUCUGGAUUGUAGAUAGCACCAUAAGUAACACUCAAUAUUUACUACAUAAUAAAAGAGAUAGUGUUACAAAGGUAGAGAAACCUACAAUGAGUACUCAUCACCAUUCUCAAACAGAAACAUAGCAGUGACUUAUACAUAGAACCUAUAGGCUCGCAGGGAAAGAGUAACAUGAUAAGUGCACAGCGGGUAGCAGCUCUUAUUUUACGUAUUACUCAAAAUCUCAAACUAACCAAAGUCACUCAGUUGGGAUGGGUAGGAGAUGGUGGUUUGUGGGGUGGCUUCUGGGUAGGAGCUGGUGGCUUCUUUGUUGGAGUUGAAGGAGGCGUAAUCUUCUGAGGUGGCUUGUAUGAGUCUUUGGCACUCUCUGCAGGAGGGUGCCCAGGGUUGUGACCGGAAGGAGGUGGCUUCUGUCCCUUUGGUGGUUUGCCUAAUGGGCUUGGUGGCUUGUGCUCCGGGAGUUGUUUCUCUCCCUCGAGUAGGUUUCGAGUUUUGUCAGAUGGCUUGUGUUCUGGUGGUGGCUUCUCUCCCUGGGGUGGUUUGCCGAAUGGGCUUGGUGGCUUGUGUUCGGGGAGUGGCUUCUCUCCCUUGGCAGGUUCAGUUGGUGGCUGGUGCUCCGUAGGUGGUUUCUUCACCGCCGGCUUCUCUCCCUGGAGAAGGUUACGAGUUUUGUCAGAUGGCUUCUGUUCUGGUGGCGGCUUCUCUCCCUGGGGUGGUUUGCCAAAUGGGCUUGGUGGCUUGUGUUCGGGAACUGGCUUCUCUCCCUUGGCAGGUUCAGUUAGUGGCUGGUGUUCCGUAGGUGGUUUCUUCACCGGCGGCUUGUGCUCCGGAAGCGGCUUCUCUACCUGGAGAAGCUUACGAGUUUUGUCAGAUGGCUUGUGUUGUGGUGGUGGCUUCUCUCCCUGGGGUGGUUUGCCAAAUGGACUUGGUGGCUUGUGUUCGGGGAGUGGCUUCUCUCCAUUGGGAGGUUUAGUUGGUGGUUGGUGUUCCGUAGGUGGUUUCUGAAGUGGGGGAUGCUUGGGGUAGUCAGCAAGAGACGAGGUAGUGAGAACCACCAGUCCCAGCAGCAAUACUAGCAAGGAUGUGGAAGACAUCUUUGAGUUCAGGCUGAGAUUUGUGCAAGGCUAGAAGAAUUAGGUGGCCUUUUAUAGCGGGCUGGACCCAACAACCAAAUGACACGUAUCAUGAUACACAUAUGUGUUAUAAGAUCCUUGUGGGUCCUACAGAAGUUGAAAACUUUGACAAUUGAGGUGUGAUUACAACUUUUGUCCCUAUUGCUUUCUCGUCAGCCGUUUUGCAAGAUUUUUGACAGGAGGACGGUAGUUUAAAAUAAUAAUUUCUAAAGUACUUUUGUGAAAAAAAAUAAUUCCAAACGUGGAUUUUAUCAAGUAAAAAAAACAAAAAAAAGUUAUUUUCUUUUAAAAUCUUUUCUUCAUGAUUCAUAUACCAAAAAAAGAAUUGUUUUCUGUAGGUAAAAUUUUUAAAAUUCAUUUUUAAAAAAAAAAAAUUACACACUAAAAUUAUCUCUUCAAGAAAAUAUUUUUUAAAUUUUAAAUAAUUAUUAAUUUAUAAUUAAUUUUUUAUUAAUUAUUUAUUAAAUUUAUAUGUGAAAAAUGCAUUUAUAAAAAACAAAUUUUUUAUUAAUUUAUUAAAUAAUUAUUUACAAAAUAAAUAAUUUUGCUUUAUUUUAAUUUUAAAAUUAAUUUUAUUAUAUAAAUUUUAAAAUUAAAAAUAUUAAUAUUUAAUUUAAAAUUUAACUAUAAAAGGAAUAAAAUAUAGAAAAAUAAAUUAAUUUAUUAUUCAAUAAAUUAAUUUUCAAUAAAAUUUUCAGCAUUAAGAGAUAAAUUUUUAAGUAUUAAUCAAUUUAAAAAAUAAUAAUAAUCAUUUGUAUACUAAGAUAUUUUAUUUAGUAAUUAUGAAUGAUAAACAACUAAAGUAAUUUGAAAAAAUAAUAAAAUAUUUAAAAAUAAUAAUUUAAUACACUUAAAAUUAGAAAUGAUUAACUAUUUUUUAUUAAGAAAAAAUUGAAGAAAUAUUUUGUUAUUUAAAAUUUUUUAUUUGUUUUCAAUUUUAAAUGUUAUAGGUUUCAAGAAAAUUGAUCAAAUAAAAAUUAAGAAGUCAUUUUUUCAAAAACUAUAUAUCUAAAUAAAAGCCUUGAAAUUCAAAUACACAAUAUCAUAAAUAUAAACACCAAGUCAAUCCUUAAUUAUCAAAUGUUUUUAAUAUUAAAGAAUCAAAAUCACCUACUAUCAUGAUAAUAAGAAAACCAAUAAUAUUGUUCAUAUAAAUACUAAAAAGCUAACAAAUAUCCCAAACAAUUAAUAAAGUAUCAAACAUGAUAAAAAGUCAAUUAUUAUCAUGAAUGCAAAAAAUCAAUAAUUUUGUUUAUAUGAACCAUCAACAAAGAAAAAAAAAAUCAAUAUCUAAAUAUUAAACAUAAUUUAUAUUUUUAUAAAUAUUAUUGUUGAUAAAUAUCUUAAUAAUUAUAAUUUUUUAUAUAUUAAAUUUAGUAAAUAAAAUUAAUUAAUUUUAUAAUAUAAGAUAUAUAUAAUAAUUAAGAGACUAUUUGUCCCAAACAAUUUAUUUAUUUUUUUUUUAGGAAAUUGUCUCUUCAAGAGACGACUUCUCCCAACAUUUUUAAAAAAAAAAAAAAAAACAUCUAUUCAAAAGACGAUUUCUCCUCAUUUUUUAAAAAUGAAUUUUAGAAAUCAUAUUUUCAAAAAUGAAUUUUAGAAAUCAUAUUUUCAAAAGACGAUUUUUUUUUAUAUAAAUUAUUUUUUAAAAUGACGAUUUUAAAAGGAAAUAACGAUCUCUCUCCUACUUGGCAAAAACUAUGGUAAAUUUGGAAUUAUUUCUUCCACAACCAUAGUUUAAGAAUUAUUUUUUUAUACUUUCGUAGACUUAUCAAAAAUCCCUAUUUUGCAUGUCUCAUUUGGCAUGACUUUCUUACCUAAACAAGCAUAUAUAUAUAUAUAUAUAUAUAUAUCACUUUUGUCUGGGUUGAGUCAAUGCCCUUAACUAAUUUGUUCAUUUGAAUAGUCUAAAUUAUUAUAAGCUUUUAGUUAAGAAAAAUGUGAAACAUAAAUUACACCUCUCGGCACAACUUCGACACUGGUUACUCUGUUUCAGUUUAUUCACACAAGAUUAUUGGUUCUAGGGUUUAUUUGGUUUUGGUUUGAUUCUAAUUGCUAAACUUUCUCAAGGAAGAUGUUAUAUAGGGAGUGAGAAACCUUCACUCCUGGCUACCUCCAAGAGAAGAGCAAGUGGUCUGAAUCAAAGAUAUACUGCUCACUUUUUCUUCUUCUAAGGACAGCUAUGACCUUGCUUUAAAAUGUUCGAAUAGCCUAAUGCAACCUCCCAUUUCUCAAGUCAGCUGAUGAUGUAAGUCACCUUGGCUUUCCACAUUCAUACGGUGAGGACGUUUGUGGGUGUAAUUCUCUUAACAGUUUUCAUUUUAUAUGGAAAAAUUCAUAAUUAAGGGUAAUUACUGAUUCCAUUUGACAGUGACCAAGUUUAAAAUAUUAACUCAUGUAUUAAAUGCACAUUAAAAAAUCAUGGAAUAAAUAUAUUUACUAAUAUAUAGUUCUUUUGUCAUGUUCUGUCACAGAAGCAUCGAACUUUCCCUAGAAAUUUUUGCAUGGUAUUCUGCUUAUGAUUUUGAAAACUCUAGGCACCUAAGGCCACUGAUUGCAUGGUUGGAUGAGGAGCUGCAUGAGAUUAUGUAUCCUGUUGCUCCUUAACUACAAAUAUCAGUUUUAAGUAGCAUCUCCAUGUGACAUUUUCCUGAUGCAAUUUCGCUGUCCACCAACAAAUGUCUCCAUGCAGCUAGAUGAAUUGUAAUUUCUUUGUUGUUAUCAACAGCUUUAAUUAAUCUUGAUAUAUAUAUAACUUAGUAGAAGUAAUUAAUCUAGAUUGUAGUUGCACUAAGAUAAUAGGCAAUAUUAUAACAGUGCCACAAUGCUCAUCGCCAAAUAGAAAGGUAGAAAAACUACAAUGAGUAACUCACACAACAUUCUCAAACAGGACAUAGCGGCGACUGAUACAUAGAACACUAUUGGCACUCAGGAAAUGAUAAGAUCAGUGCCCAGCAGGCAGCACGUCUUAUUUUACAUACUACUUAAAACUAACCAAAGUCAUUCAGUUGGGAUGGGUGGGAGAUGGUGGUUUGUGCGGUGGCUUCUUUCCUGGAACUGGUGGUUUUUUUGUUGGAGUUGAAGGAGGCUUAAUCGUCUGAGGUGGCUUGUAUGAGUCUUCAGCACUCUCUGCAAGAGGGUGCCCAGGGUUGUGACCAUAAUGAGGUGGCUUCUCUCCCUUAGGUGGUUUGCCAAGUGGGCUGGCUGGCUUGUGCUCCGGGAGCGGCUUCUCUCCCUUAGGUGGUUUGCCAAAUGGGCUUGCUGGCUUGUGCUCUGGGAGCGGCUUCUCUCCCCCAAGAAGUUUGCGGGUUUUGUCAGAUGGCUUGUGUUCUGGUGGUGGCUUCUCUCCUUGGGGUGGUUUGCCAAAUGGACUUGGUGGCUUGUGUUCGGGGAGUGGCUCCUCUCCCUUGGGAGGUUUAGUUGGUGGCUGGUGUUCCGUAGGUGGUUUCUCAACCGGGGGCUGGUGCUCCGUAGGUGGUUUAUGAACUGGGGGAUGCUUGGGGUAGUCAGCAAGAGACGGGGUGGUGAGAACCACCAGUCCCAGCAGCAACACUAGCAAGUAUGUGGAUGACAUCUUUGAGUUCAGGCUGAGAUUUGUGCAAGACUAGAAGAAUUAGGUGGCCUUUUAUAGCUGGCUGCACCCAACACUCACAUGACACGUAUCACGGUGACACAUGUGCUAUGGGAUCCAUUUGGGUCCUACAGAAGUUGAAAACUUUUGACUAUUGAGGUGUGAUCACAACUUUUGUCCCUAUUGCUUUCUCCGCAACCGUUUUACAUGUUUCCUUUGUGGUGUUUAAUAGUGUUUUUUUCCUUAAUUCUAAAUAAACCUUAAUACUUAAUAAUGUUAAAUAUUAGGUUAUUUAUUUUUAUAAUAUUUUAUUUAUAUUAAGUAUUAAAAAGUAAAGAAAAAUCAAUAUAUUUAUUUUUCUAUUUAGAAAAAACUAUAUAUUUUUAAUUUUUUUAUUUAAUAAAAAAUUUAUAAUAAAUCAUGAAAAAAUAGAAAAACAAACAACCUAAAUUUUAAAAAUAAAUUGUUUUUAGUAAAAACCCAAAAAAACAAACACCACCUUAACUAAACAAAUAUAUAUUAUAUUUAGUUAAGAAAGAGUAAAGUGUAUAUGGCUCAAAUCAAGGAAGAGAAACAGAAUAAGUGGAAGACAAUCAAUUGUGAUAAACAGAUAUAUUACAUGCAUGUAGUACUAGUGACUUUAUCAUUUACUUUUAUACAAUAGAUCAUCACACUCUUUCUUCUAAAUAUUUUGGAGGAUAAUGGUACAUGUUGCUUGUUGCCAAGUCAAAAUUGGUGGCAAAAAUCGGCAUGAUACGAAAGGAUUGGUGAAAAGAUUCACAUAGAUGGUGCUUUGUGCAAUGCAGUCUUGCUCUAAUUCAACAGAGUGGACCAUGGUGAUGUAUUUUAAAUUUUAAAUUUUAAAUUAAUGCAUGCUUCAAAGUUUUAACUAGAUGUCACUUCCAUGGAUUUUUGUUCAUUUAAUUGAGAACAGGAUAGGCUAUCAAACUUGAAGUAAUAUAAAAAUCCCUUCAUUACUGUAACUAAUGAAAGAUCAUUAUCUGCGCUUGGUAUUUUGCCAAGGUAUUUGCUGCUCUUUCUAGCCCUAUCUUACAGUUAAGGACAAUGUGAUCUAGUUAACCUUAGAAGCUAUUCCAUGUCAUAUACAAGAGAUCAAGCACAUUAUCUUUGGGCUCAGUUCAAAACUAUAAUAUAUGGGUGGGGUGGGGGCCUAUACCAUUUGCAUAUCACCACUAUUGGUUUAGUUUGGAAGGUUUCUUCUGGAAGAUUGCUUUCUGGAAACAUUUCAAAGAAAUAUAUCUUUUUGUUCUCUUGGUGACGAGCAGCGGCAAUCAAGUCUGUUGACAAACAACCGAGUUGAAAAGUUUGAAAAUUGGUCACAGCCCACGUCCAUGGUUAAGGAAAAGGUCACUGGAAGUGAUCCCUUCUGGGCCUGUUGGAAGCAGGGGAGGUUAACACACCAAGCAACAAAGAACAGAGAUAUGCUGCUACUGAUCUAUAUUUUUUAUUUGAUCAUAAGGCUAAAUUUAUACAGAUUGUGUAACAGAUAUGACCUCAAAAAAAAGCAUCAAAUCAAGCUACUUGUUGAACAAACAACUACCUUCUACAAAAUAACAUCAAAAUUUAACUUAAAAGCAAAAACAUAAAAAUAGCAACAGCAAAAAUAGAAACAUAAAAAUAGCUUCAGCAUUCUAGUAAUCUCGUUGACUUCAAUUGCAUGUGGUUGACGAUUUCAGCCUUUUCCUCAGCAGCUACUAAGGCAUAACUCUCAACACUCCUCCUUGACUUAGGAGGUGCAAACUCCAAGUCUUUCUCAUAGAAACUCAAAUCUUAUUUUAGGAAGAGCUUUAGUCAGAAUAUCUACAUUUUGACUGUCUGUAUUGCAGUAGACUAGUUGUAUAUCUCCUUCUUUCUGUACUUCCCUCAAAAAUUACAAUUUAAUCUUGAAGUGCUUUGUUUUACCAUGAAAAACUGGAUCAUUUGCAAUAGAUAUAGUGGCCUGGUUGUCUACAAACACCUUUGUACUCACUUCUUGCUUCAUAUCCAAAUCUGUCAGCAACUUUCCAAGCCAUAAGGCUUGAUUUACAGCUGUAACAGCAGCAAUAUACUCUGCCUCAGCUGUGGAUUGAGCCACGACUUCUUGCUUCCUUGAACUCCAUGAAAAAACACCAGAACCAAAACUAAAACAAUAGCCUGAAGUACUUCUCAUAUCGUCAACACAACCAGCCCAAUCACUAUCAGAAAAUCCAUGAAAAUUGAAACUUUGAACUUGACUGAACUUAAUGCCAUAAUCCACAGUGCCUUUAACAUUUCUUAUCACACGCUUUGCUGCCUGGAAAUGAAUUUCACUAGCACAAUGCAUGUAUCUCGAAAGUAGACUUACAGCAUGCAUUAUAUCGAGUCUUGUUGCAGUCAAGUACAUUAAGCAUCCAAUCAUGCUUCGAUAAAGUCCUUCAUCUACCUUUUUAGCACCGUCCUCCUUACAGAACUUCUCUUUCUGGUUCAUAGGGGUAGAUGUAGGUUUGCAUUCCUCCAUUUUGAAUUUCUUCAUAAUUUCUUUGGCAUAUUUUUGUUGGCAGAUGAAAAUCUCAUUCUGCUUCUGGUGUACUUCCAUUCCCAAGAAGUAAGACAUCUCAUCUAGGUCUGUCAUCUCAAAAACCUGCUCCAUUUCAGCCUUGAAUUUGUUCACAAACCCUGCAUUACUUCCUGUUACAAGCAAAUCAUCAACAUAUAGAGAAACAAUUAAUAUAUCUUCUUCAAUCUUCUUAAUGUAGAGUGUAAAUUCACUCAAGCUCUUGUGAAAGCCUAAAGUUAGCAGGUGAGUGUCAAUCCUGCUGUACCAAGCUCUAGGGGCUUGUCUUAACCCAUACAAGGCCUUCUUAAGAAGGUAUACUUUUUCUUCUUUUCCUUUGAUAGCAAAACCUUCUGGUUGUUCGACAAAAAUCUCUUCCUCUAAGUAGCCAUUCAAAAAUGCUGACUUCACAUCUAGUUGAUAAAUCUUCCAUUUUCUUUGAGCUACAAGAGCCAACAACAUCCUGAUUGUAUCCAAACGAGCUACUGGUGCAAAGGUUUCCGAAAAGUCAACACCAAACAUUUGUGCAUACCCUUUGACAACCAGCCUUGCUUUAUGUUUGUUUAUAGAACCAUCAGAGUUGAGUUUGGUUCUGUAAACCCACUUAACCCCAAUAGGUUUUUUGUGUGAAGGUCUAUCUACUAGCUCCCAAGUGUUGUUCUUGUCAAUCAUAUCUAGCUCCUCCUGCAUUGCAACCCUCCAUCUUUUAUUUUCAGCAGCUUCAACAAACCCUGCAAGUUCAAGAACAGCUAUAUUACACCUUUGAUAAAUAUCAAAAAGUGUCAUGAAACCUCUAACUGGAAGUUCAUCAACAUCUUCAUCAAUAUAUUGCUGAUUCUGCUCAUCCCAACUCCAUUUCUCCGUUUCCAAAAACUUAACAUCUCUACUUACCACAAUUUUACUAUUUUGUGGCAAGUAGAUUCUGUAAGCUUUUGAGGUGCUGUUGUAUCCAAUGAAAAUUCCUGGUUCUGACUUUUUAUCUAGCUUGUCUCUUUUCACCUGAGGAACAUAAGAGAAACACAAGCAACCAAAGGUCUUUAAAUUCAUUAGCAUAGGCUUAUAAGCAAACCAGGCCUCAAAAGGUGUCUGUUUCUGCAAUGCUUUUGUUGGUAGUCUAUUUAGCAAAAAUACUACUGUAUUUGCAGCUUCAACCCAAAAACUUUUUGGCAGCUCUUUCUCAUGCAAAAGACAUCUUGUCAUUGAUUACUACUCAAAAAGUGCUAUUUGAUAGCCUUUAAUUAAUCCUUUUUAACACUUUUGAGUAGUAGUUUAGGCCUUUUAACUCAAUUGGCAUGUUAAGGAUCCUUUAAAGCAAUUUUGAUCACUUUGUGCAAGUUUUGGUGUUUUUGUUAGUAUUUCGAUCACCAAAGCAAGUCAAGAAUGAGGAGAGCUAUGAGGAAUCUUGGGCAAAGCUUAGAAUUCAAUUGCCAAGAGUGAAUCCGGAUUGCAAGGAGAAAAAGCAAAGAGGAUCAGUCAUGGAGCAUAUUCUUGAUGACAGUCGUAGCAGCCACUUUUGGAUCACUUUCUGAAGUCCAAAUGAUGCAAGCUAUAUACCAUUUCAAAGCUCAGGAAGUCAACAAUCCAAUGCUUCAAACGGUGUGCGAUUCGGAAUUGAAACGAAGAAGUUGCAGCCAUUACAAGCCAGACACUCUAAAGUGUUGCGGAAUCAGCCAUGUGUUGCGAGAAUUUCGCAGCACUUUUGUACAGUAAGGUGUUUCUCCUUCUAACGAUGCACGAACCAUGCCGCGAGAAGGGAGCUGGAAACUUCAAGAUGGAAGCCAACUUUGCAGCCUAGUGAAGAUAGCUCGGUCUUGCAAGAUAAUUUCGCAGCCCUCUUGGGUGUCUGCGAAAUUUCGCAGGCCUCAUUUUUCACCUGCGAAAUGGCUCUUGAAGCCUCCCGAAGCUUGCUACCGACAUUGGGAGAUAUUUUCCAUUAGAUUUUUGUUGUCUAAAUCCCAAAAUACUCCUUGUAAACCACCAAUUACAUGAUUCCUUAGUUUUUAAGUUAGUAAAAAGACCAAAUAUCUUUGUAACAAUUAGUUUUAUAUUUUGUUGUUAUAAAUACCUCUCGGGAGCCUGUUCUCAGGGAGGAGUUCCUUCUGUAAACGUUUGGUAAGCAAGUAAAGUCUAUUUUCUUUCUACUGCCUUACCUUCUCACUUUGUAUUUUCAUUUUAUUUCUAAGUUAUGAAUUCUCUGAGGAGUUUUCCCCAAAGAAUGAGUAACUAAACCUCCAAUUCCUUGGAGCUAAGGUUGCCGGGGAAGGUUCCAAGUGCAAGAAUGCAAAGCUCUGUGGUUUUAGCUAGUAAUGAAGAGGAAGUGAAAUCCUUUAGUGAUUUCAAUGUUUUUAGUUAACUUAAAACACUUUGGAGUCACCUGGGCCAACACUUGGUAAGGCAAGUGAUUUCCAACCAUGGAAAUGCACUAGUUUACCCCUUGCGAGCCUCUGGUAGGUGACUUCAAGGUAGGAUUUUCUGGAAUUACCAACACUUGGUAAGCUUUUGGACUCCUAGGAGACAUCCAUUAGUUAUCUCUUGCGAGUUUGUGAAGGGAAUCCAAGGUUAAAGAUCACCUUGAAUGGUAAGUGCUCGUGAGAGGCAUGAACCAUUGCAAGUUGUAUCAGUGAGAGAAUUAAAGUGAAAUCUAAUUGAAGGAGUCUUUGUACAUCACCGGUUAGAGAAUUGACUAUAAGUUGAAUCUCUAAUGCGAGGAAAUGAACCAACUGACCAGAGCCGUGUCUUUUGCAUGAGGAACCACCCCAGUGAACCUAAAUCUCCAAGGAAUGUUUUUUUCUUCCUAAAUUAUUCCAAACUUCUGUUAAGUUAGUUAGUUUAAAUCUCAACCUUUACAAAUCAAAGUUUGUGUUUUAUUCCUUAAGCUAACCGUGAAAUGAAACAAGACCAAUUCACUUGGAAUUGGUAUCAUUGAUUGCCUGCAAAUCAUUCCCAGUGAACGAUCCUAGAGCCACUAUACUAUAGUAGCUUUGUAUUUGCUACCCUAGUGUAUGGUGUUAUAGGUAUAAAUUUUGUUGAUCACUUCCUCAAUCAAGGAGCACCAGCUGAACACAAAUCAGCUGAGACACCAAUUAGGCAUGAGUCAAAUGGCGCCGUUGCCGGGGAAUGAAUGUCAAGUUCAUUGUGAUACCAUUGUUGAGCACUUGUGAUUUUCAUCACAAGUUGGUAAAGUUUCUUUCACUUUACUAAUUUUCAUUCUUUCUUUGUUUAUUUACAAUCUAAGUUUAUCUUUUUAAAUUUUAGUCUAGUUUAAUUUUGUUGUUGUAGCCCUGUUUUUCUUGUUGUCCUCUGUUUUCAUUUUUUUUUUCAGGUAGAUACUAGUUGUGUAUGCCCAAGUGGAUACGAGACAUAGGAGGUAGGCUUGUUAAGUGUGAUACACCUCAGAAAGGAGAAUUUGAAGUAAUCUUGAAUAUCAUGGAGGCUGCACCUGAAGAUCAGCAUAGUCACCAAGGUCGUCAAGACAAUCUCAAUGAAUUCAGAUCAAUGAGGGACCGUAUGCAUCCACCUCGUAUGAGUACACCAUCAUGUAUAGUGCCCCCUACAGAGCAGCUAGUGAUCAGACCAUAUCUUGUUCCACUUCUACCAACUUUCCAUGGGAUGGAAAGUGAGAAUCCGUAUGCACACAUCAAGGAAUUUGAAGAUGUUUGUAAUACAUUCCAAGAAGGAGGAGCUUCAAUUGACUUGAUGAGGCUUAAGUUAUUUCCUUUUACUUUAAAGGAUAAGGCCAAAAUUUGGCUUAAUUCUUUAAGGCCAAGGAGUAUCCGCUCUUGGACUGAUUUACAAGCUGAGUUCCUUAAGAAAUUUUUUCCUACUCAUAGAACAAAUGGCUUGAAAAGGCAAAUUUCAAACUUCUCAGCUAAAGAGAAUGAGAAAUUCUAUGAGUGUUGGGAAAGAUACAUGGAAGCUAUAAAUGCUUGUCCUCACCAUGGCUUUGAUACUUGGCUAUUGGUGAGCUAUUUUUAUGAUGGUAUGUCCUCCUCAAUGAAGCAACUCCUCGAGACAAUGUGUGGAGGAGAUUUCAUGAGCAAAAAUCCAGAGGAAGCUAUGGAUUUCUUGAGCUAUGUAGCUGAUGUUUCAAGGGGAUGGGAUGAACCAACUAAAGGAGAAGUGGGAAAGAUGAAGUCUCAGUUGAAUGCUUACAAUGCAAAGGCUGGGAUGUAUAAUUUGAAAGAAGAUGAUGACAUGAAAGCAAAGUUGGCAGCUAUGACAAGAAGAUUGGAGGAGCUGGAGCUGAAAAGAAUGCAUGAAGUGCAAGCUGUUGCUGAAGCACCAGUGCAAGUGAAGCUGUGUCCCAAUUGUCAAUCAUUUGAACAUUUGGUGGAGGAGUGCCCUGCAAUUUCAGUUGAAAGGGAAAUGUAUAGAGAUCAAGCAAAUGUUGUUGGACAAUUUAGGCCCAAUAACAAUGCUCCUUAUGGAAAUACCUACAAUUCAAGUUGGAGGAAUCAUCCAAAUUUCUCAUAGAAGGCCAGAGCAACUCAAUACCAACAGCCGGAUCCACCAUCUCAGCAAUCUUCAAGUAUUGAACAAAUAAUAGCCAAUCUCAGCAAGGUAGUGGGAGAUUUUGUGGGAAAGCAAGAAGCCACCAAUGCUCGAGUUGAUCAAAGAAUGGAUAGAAUGGAGAGUGUGUUGAACAAAAGAAUGGAUGGAAUGCAAAAUGAUAUGAACCAAAAGUUUGAUAACAUCCAAUAUUCAAUUUCAAGGCUUACAAAUUUGAAUACACUGCAAGAAAAAGGAAGAUUUCCUUCUCAACCUAACCAAAAUCCCAAAGGUGUCCAUGAAGUGGAAAGCCAUGAGGGAGAAUCAUCACAGGUGAAAGAUGUGAAAGCUUUGAUCACUCUAAGGAGUGGUAAGAAAAUUGAGCAGCCAACACCCAUGCCACAUGUUGAGAAAGAAGAAGGGAUAAAGAAAGGAAAGGAAAUAGAAGAUAAAGACAGUGAGAUCAGUGAAGAAAAGAAGGACUCUGAUUCAACAAUCAAAGCAAUUCCAGAGAAAGAGCUUCUGAAGGAAGAAAUGCUGAAGAAAUCAACUUUUCCACCUUUUCCUCAAGCAUUACAGGGGAAAAAGGGGGUUAGAAAUGCAGCUGAAAUCCUUGAAGUCUUAAGACAAGUAAAAGUUAAUAUUCCACUGCUGGAUAUGAUCAAACAAGUUCCAACGUAUGCAAAAUUCCUAAAGGACUUGUGUACUAUCAAAAGAGGGGUUGACUGUAAACAAGAAAGCCUUCUUGACUGAGCAAGUAAGUGCAAUCUUACAAUGCAAGUCUCCUUUGAAGUACAAAGACCCUGGAAGUCCUACCAUUUCAGUCAUGAUUGGAGGAAAGGUAGUGGAGAAAGCCUUGCUAGACUUGGGAGCAAGUGUGAAUUUGCUUCCAUACUCUGUCUACAAGCAACUGGGACUUGGAGAGUUGAAGCCAACAGCAAUCACUUUAUCUUUGGCAGAUAGAUCAGUGAAAAUUCCAAGAGGAGUAAUUGAGGAUGUAUUGGUUCAAGUGGAUAAUUUCUACUAUCCAGUAGAUUUUGUUGUUCUUGAUACUGAUCCAACUGUAAAGGAAGCUAAUUUAGUUCCUAUCAUCCUUGGAAGGCCAUUUCUUGCAACUUCAAAUGCAAUCAUCAACUGUAGAAAUGGGCUUAUGCAACUCACUUUUGGUAACAUGACACUGGAUCUCAAUAUUUUCUAUAUGUCUAAAAAGCAAAUCACUCCUGAGGAAGAAGAAGGUCCAGAAGAGCUAUGUAUUAUUGAUACUUUGGUGGAGGAGCACUGCAAUCAGCAUAUGCAAGAUAAGUUGAAUGAAAGUCUUGUGGAUAUUGAGGAAGGUUUUUCUGAAUCUCCUAUUGGGCUUGCUACUCUACAAAGUUGGAGAAAGAUAGAAGGAAUUCUACCUUUGUUCAAUGAAAAAGAGGAGGCAACUGUUGAAGAAGAAAUUCCAAAACUCAAUUUGAAGCCUUUACCUGUGGAGCUGAAAUAUACAUAUCUUGAAGCAAAUAAUCAAUGUCCUGUUGUGAUAUCCUCAUCUCUGACCAGUCAUCAAGAGAAUUGUUUAAUGGAAGUUCUCAUGAGGUGUAAGAAGGCAAUAGGAUGGCAAAUAUCUGACUUGAAAGGCAUUAGUCCUUUAGUUUGUACUCAUCAUAUAUAUAUGGAGGAGGAAGCAAAGCCAAUUCGUCAAUUUCAAAGAAGGUUGAAUCCUCAUCUACAAGAGGUGGUGCGAGCUGAGGUGCUGAAGCUACUUCAAGCAGGAAUCAUUUACCCUAUUUCUGAUAGCCCUUGGGUGAGUCCUACUCAAGUGGUACCAAAGAAGUCAGGGAUCACAGUGAUUCAAAAUGAAAAAGGGGAAGAAAUUACUACACGCCUCACUUCAGGUUGGAGGGUGUGUAUUGAUUAUAGAAAGCUGAAUGCUGUCACCAGGAAGGAUCAUUUUCCAUUGCCAUUUAUUGAUCAAGUGCUGGAGAGAGUCUCUGGACAUCCAUUUUAUUGUUUCUUGGAUGGGUAUUCAGGCUAUUUUCAAAUUGAAAUUGAUUUGGCAGAUCAGGAAAAGACCACUUUUACAUGUCCAUUUGGAACAUUUGCUUAUAGAAGAAUGCCUUUUGGUUUAUGCAAUGCACCUGCUACAUUUCAAAGAUGUAUGUUGAGUAUUUUCAGUGAUAUGGUGGAGAGAAUUAUGGAGGUUUUCAUGGAUGACAUCACCGUAUAUGGAGGUACAUUUGAGGAGUGCUUGGUUAAUUUGGAAGCAGUUCUUCAUAGAUGCAUUGAAAAAGAUUUGGUGCUGAACUGGGAGAAAUGCCAUUUUAUGGUACGUCAAGGAAUUGUCCUUGGCCAUAUCAUCUCUGAAAGAGGCAUUGAAGUUGAUAAAGCAAAGGUGGAGCUUAUUGCCAAAUUACCAUCUCCAACAACUGUGAAAGGAGUAAGACAGUUCCUUGGCCAUGCAGGGUUCUAUAGGAGGUUUAUAAAAGGUUUUUCAAGUCUUUCAAAACCUCUUUGUGAGCUGUUAGCUAAGGAUGCUAAGUUUAUAUGGGAUGAAAGGUGUCAGCAUAGCUUUGAUCAACUGAAGAAGUUUUUAACAACAACUCCAAUAGUGAGAGCCCCUAACUGGCAAUUACCUUUUGAACUGAUGUGUGAUGCCAGUGACUUUGCUAUAGGAGCUGUGCUUGGCCAAAGAGAAGAUGGGAAGCCCUAUGUGAUUUACUAUGCAAGUAAAACACUAAAUGAAGCUCAGAGGAACUACACAACUACAGAGAAAGAAUUGUUAGCUGUGGUAUUUGCUUUGGACAAAUUUCGAGCUUAUUUAGUGGGGUCUUUCAUCAUUGUCUUCACUGACCAUUCAGCCUUGAAGUAUUUAUUGACAAAGCAAGAUGCAAAAGCAAGGUUGAUUAGAUGGAUUCUAUUGUUACAAGAGUUCGAUCUUCAAAUCAAAGAUAAGAAAGGAGUGGAGAAUGUAGUAGCUGACCACUUGUCAAGGUUAGUUAUAGCACAUAAUUCCCAUCCCUUGCCUAUCAAUGAUGAUUUUCCUGAAGAAUCACUCAUGUUCCUAGUGAAAACUCCUUGGUAUGCUCAUAUUGCUAAUUAUUUAGUAACUGGGGAAAUUCCAAGUGAGUGGAAUGCACAGGACAGGAAGCACUUCUUUGCCAAAAUUCAUGCUUAUUAUUGGGAAGAGCCCUUUCUCUUUAAGUAUUGUGCAGAUCAGAUUAUUAGGAAGUGUGUCCCUGAAGAUGAGCAGCAAGGGAUUCUAUCUCAGUGUCAUGAGAAUGCAUGUGGAGGCCACUUUGCCUCUCAGAAAACAGCCAUGAAGGUAUUACAAUCAGGGUUUACUUGGCCAUCUCUUUUCAAAGAUGCCCACAUCAUGUGUAGAAAUUGUGAUAGAUGCCAAAGGCUUGGAAAGCUAACAAAAAGAAAUCAAAUGCCUAUGAACCCCAUUCUGAUAGUUGAGAUAUUUGAUGUUUAGGGCAUUGACUUCAUGGGACCUUUCCCAAUGUCUUUUGGUAAUUCUUACAUUUUGGUGGGGGUAAAUUAUGUUUCUAAAUGGGUUGAGGCAAUCCCCUGUAAGCAAAAUGAUCACAGGGUGGUUCUCAAGUUUCUUAAAGAGAACAUUUUCUCAAGAUUUGGGGUGCCCAAGGCCAUAAUCAGUGAUGGAGGAGCUCAUUUUUGCAACAAACCUUUUGAAGCUCUGUUAUCCAAGUAUGGAGUGAAGCAUAAGGUAGCCACACCUUAUCAUCCUCAGACAUCCGGGCAAGUUGAGCUAGCUAACAGGGAAAUAAAGAACAUUUUGAUGAAAGUGGUGAAUUCCAACAGAAAAGAUUGGUCUAUUAGGCUUCAUGAUUCAUUGUGGGCAUAUAGAACAGCUUAUAAAACUAUUCUUGGGAUGUCUCCCUAUCGUCUUGUCUAUGGCAAAGCAUGCCAUCUCCCUGUGGAAGUUGAAUACAAAGCUUGGUGGGCAAUAAAGAAGCUGAAUAUGGACUUGAUCAAGGCCGGAGAAAAGAGAUUUCUAGACCUUAAUGAGAUGGAGGAAUUAAGAAAUAAUGCUUAUAUCAAUUCCAAAGUUGCAAAACAGAGGAUGAAGAAGUGGCAUGAUCAACUCAUCUCCAACAAGGAAUUUCAGGAAGGGCAAAAAGUUUUGAUGUAUGACACAAGACUCCAUAUCUUUCCUGGGAAGCUCAAAUCAAGGUGGAUUGGUCCAUUUGUUAUUCACCGAGUAUAUUCCAAUGGAGUGGUGGACUUAUUGAAUUCCAAUGGCAAGGAUAGCUUUAAAGUCAAUGGAUAUCGUCUCAAGCCGUUCAUGGAGUCAUUCAAAUCAGAAAAGGAGGCAAUCAACCUCCUUGAACCUCAAAAAGCCUAAGUGAAAAGGGUUUGCUGGACGUGGCUUUACCACAGUCCAAAAUUUUUGUAAAUUUUGUAAAUUUUCAAGUUGUUUCUAUACUUUUGAUUUUAGUUUUUGAUCUUAAAUCAUGUUUUUAGGUGUGUUUUAAUCGUUUUAAAUGAUCCCAGGUGGAAGAAAUUUCAAGGGGAUUGAAAGAAAAAAAAUCGGGUCGAAAUUGGAGCCGAAACAGAGCAAAAACAGGGGAAAAACAGAGCUCUGCGAAAUUUCGCAGGGUGAAGGAAACCUCUGCGAAAUGAGCAUUUUGUUGCGAAACCAUUCCGCAGCACUGUAGAAGCCUCUGCGAGUGUAUUUCGCAGCUGCGAAAGUGAAUUUGGCACACGAGUGCCACUUCGCAGUACAGUAGCAUCCAUUUGGCAGCUGCGAAACUCAUUGCGAAAUGGAAAAGCGUGAUUUCGCACCAAAAGUCCCAUUCCGCAGGGUAUUUCGCAAUUGCGAAAGUGGUUUUGGCACACGAGUGCCACUCCGCAGCACAGUAACAUCAAUUUCGCAGCUGCGAAACUCACUGCGAAGUUGCUGCGAAAAUGGCAAGUUGCUGCGAAAUUGGCGUUUAGUUGCGAAACUUAAACUGACCCCUGAGCUUCCGUUUUUCCUAUUUAUACCGGUCAAAAGUGCUGCGAAAAGGGUUUCAAAAAUCAGAGCACCAUUCUCGCAGCCCCUUCAUCUUCUUCGCCAAGCCACGCCGUCCGAACCUCCGGUCGUCUUCUCCGUUUAGCAGCGCCGGCCAAAGAUCGAUAUUCCAAAAUGGCACGAACGCGAGGGGCAAAAUCUUCAUCCCCUUCGAAUCGCAAAAGGAGUCUGCGAAAGGAGCCAAGUCCAGGUUCUGCUCCAGAACCUGCUCCAAAGCCUUCGCCGUCGAGACCACAACCUUCUCCAGUGAAGCCGGCGCCACUAAAGCCGCCGGCAAGACGAUAUUUGACAAGGUCAGGCGGUUGGCCAUUGAAGAAGAAGCCCAGGGUUGAGAGCUCUGAACCAAUUGAUUUGACUGAGCAAUCCCCUGAGCAGUCCCCAAAUCCUUCACCAGUUCAAACUCCAGUGCCGUCACCGGUUCCCUCGCCAAUUCCCUCACCUGAAGCAACUCCAAUUCCAUCGUCGGUACCAUCUCCGGCACCCCAAGAAAAAGCUCAGGAGCCUCAAGCGCCAAUUCCAGAGCCCCAAAUUGCAGCUGAAGCACCUCUGGAAGAAGUGAUCCGAAGGCCAAUGCUGCCCCAGCCCCCAAUCGAAGGAAACUUGGAUUGUCGAACACGGGCAUUCCAUUCUGAGCUUUGCUUCGAUUUAACAGCAUUCAGAGUGAGGCCAGAGCUUGCCCAAUCCUUCCAGCUGCUGAGGAGAUAUCAUAUGGAGCAUCUGCUAGCUCCAAGGGAUUUUUUCUAUCCCCGGGUAGUCACGGACUUCUACCAGACCAUGACAACCAAAGAAGUAAGAAAUCCAACUCUGAUCCAUUUCAUAAUUGAUGGAAGGCAUGGUAUUUUGGGAGCAAGACACAUUGCUGAAGCUCUGCAAAUUCCUUUUGAGCCAACCCAAUUCGACAAUUUUAAAGCUUGGGUAAAUCCUACUGAGUUAGAGAUGGUUCGCACACUAACCAGAGGAGCUGCAAAUCGAUCACACCUGUUGAGGGGGGAGCUACCUCCAGUGAUGUUUUUGAUUGAUGCCUUUUUGAGGCAUAAUAUCUAUCCCCUGCAGCAUUGGACCCAAAGAAGGGGAAUUCUCCUGGAAGCUUUGUACAAGAUGUCAGAAGGAUUCUUCUUUGGGCCCCAUCAUCUUAUCAUGGCAGCCCUUCUAUACUUUGAGGAAAAGGUUCACAAGAAGAAACUUCAAAGAGCAGAUUGCAUUCCACUCCUCUUCCCAAGGCUGCUAUGCCAAGUUUUGGAGCAUCUCGGAUACCCCUCUGAGCCUCAGCAGGAAAGAAAGAGAAUAUGCCGUGAGCCAUUUACUCUUGAUAAAUGGAAUAAUAUGACGGCCUACAAAAUUGAUCAGCCUGGGCAGCCUCAGCCAGCAGCAAGGAGAGCCUCCCCAAGACAUGCACCUGAAGGUAUAACACUUGCUACUCCUGCCAUCCCUCGAGCUUCACCAGCUGCACCUGCUGCAUCACAGCCAUCCACAUCAGCUGAGCCGAGGAUGGCCAUCCCUAUAUCCGAAUAUCGAGAGCUGUGCCGAGCAUUGGAGACUCUUACAGCUUCCCAGAGCAAUCUUGCUCAAGAGUUGGCAGCCAUCAAAGCAUGCCAGGAGCAGAUGUUAGCCUCUCAGGCUCAACAAGCUGCCAUCCUAAGGCAGCUUCAAGUCCAUUUCGAUCUGCCACAAGCUGUAGAGCCCUCCACUGAGACUCCACCAGAGCCACACUCUCAGCCUUCAGAGUCUCUUCCUCCAGAGCCAGAAGCCCCAACUGAUCCACCUACAGAGGAGGCGGAUCCUUCUGCUUAGCACCAUCACCCCACUCAUCAGACAUUAUAUAUAUUUGCUGUUUAUGUUUUUAUGCAUGUUUGUUUUGUUUUAGUUGAAAUGAAAUCCCAGUAUUUUGGUACUAUAUAUGGGAUUCCUUGUGAUUACUUGUCCUUAGCAUUGUACUCGAAUGAAUUGAAAGUAAUACAAGUUGAAUUUUUCUUGUUAAAAGUUAGCAUUAAAAUUCUCCUUAUUUCCUUUUCUCACAUAUUCUAUUCUUUUUGAAACAUGUGGUUUUCCCCAAUCAAUAUUCGAAUUUGAUAUCAGCAUGGAGGUACCACUUCCUCCCUUUUAUUACAGUCACUCAAAUCACAUUGAGGACAAUGCUCAGUUCGGUUGGGGGGUAUGAGGAAGGAAGUAUUCUAAAUCUUUUUGGUAUUGCAAUUAUAUUGGUUAAUUAGUUGUAGAUUUUACGUUUUACUCUUGUUACUCUAUUCUCCAUGAAUUUUGAGGAAAAAUUUUCAAAUUAAACCAAGAGAAAUUGAACUGUUGUUUUUCACUUGACUUAGAGUAUGGAUUAUGCUUACUAAAGUGGUUCAAUUGUUGAAACUUCUACUGAAAUUGAAUUGAGUUCUUCCAUUUUAAGCUAUCCACACACUGUGCACAUUAGUUUCUGAUUAUAAGAUGAAAAGCUAUUUCCCUCUUGACUUAGGAUAAUUUUGGGACUUGGUAUAUUUGACCUCAUUUGAUAAAAAUUGAAACACCCUGCAAAAGGCCAAUGAGCCUUUGAAAUAAAGAAAGAUGUUUGCUUGCCUUGAAACCCGAGCAAGGUCUGAGGGGCAUAUGGUGAAAGCCUUUAAAGCCUGGUGCCCUAAGCCUUAAUUGGUUGGGAGUCACCGACCUCAAUGCUCGUUACAAGGGUGAAUAGGUAGAGCUAGCAUAUGGUAGAUGCUUGGGUAUUAGAAAUUCAUUCUUAAAAGUCCAGGGAAAAAUCCGAGGAGUUAGUGGUUGAAAGAUCCUUAAAACUUGGUGCCCUAAACCUUAAUUGGUUGGGAGUCAUCGAUGGACCCCCAUUACAUGGACAAGUCAGAAAGAGUACCCCAUAAAGCUACUUUAAAAAAAAAAAAAAAAAAAAAAAAAAGAUGAUGAAAGUGUGUUCUUUUCUUAUUGAUUUUGGUCAGAUUGCUAAAGUGUUGAAAAGAGAUAGGUUGGGGGGGGAGACUAGUUUAGCAUAUUAUUCUCGGAAUCUAAGGAACCAAUACACAUAGAUUUUUGUGGAAGAUUGAAGUUUAGUUCUUAGAAAGUGAAAUGAUUUUAAAACUUCAGUUUGCAUAAUGCACUCCCUUGAUUGACAGUGUUUAGCAUAGGUGUUAUGACUCUUGUUGAGAUUUGGGUUUGUAUUUCUUUAAUGAUUCAUGUGAGAAGUAAAUCAUCAUGCCACUUAAGAAUUAUUUUCCUUUCAGCAUGAUGUUGUAAAUUUUAGAUUAGUUUGCUAUUUAUUUUUAUUUUUCUCUCCUUUAUUGCUAAGGGACUAGCAAUAUGUCGGUUGGGGGGAGUGAUUACUACUCAAAAAGUGCUAUUUGAUAGCCUUUAAUUAAUCCUUUUUAACACUUUUGAGUAGUAGUUUAGGCCUUUUAACUCAAUUGGCAUGUUAAGGAUCCUUUAAAGCAAUUUUGAUCACUUUGUGCAAGUUUUGGUGUUUUUGUUAGUAUUUCGAUCACCAAAGCAAGUCAAGAAUGAGGAGAGCUAUGAGGAAUCUUGGGCAAAGCUUAGAAUUCAAUUGCCAAGAGUGAAUCCGGAUUGCAAGGAGAAAAAGCAAAGAGGAUCAGUCAUGGAGCAUAUUCUUGAUGACAGUCGUAGCAGCCACUUUUGGAGCACUUUCUGAAGUCCAAAUGAUGCAAGCUAUAUACCAUUUCAAAGCUCAGGAAGUCAACAAUCCAAUGCUUCAAACGGUGUGCGAUUCGGAAUUGAAACGAAGAAGUUGCAGCCAUUACAAGCCAGACACUCUAAAGUGUUGCGGAAUCAGCCAUGUGUUGCGAGAAUUUCGCAGCACUUUUGUACAGUAAGGUGUUUCUCCUUCUAACGAUGCACGAACCAUGCCGCGAGAAGGGAGCUGGAAACUUCAAGAUGGAAGCCAACUUGGCAGCCUAGUGAAGAUAGCUCGGUCUUGCAAGAUAAUUUCGCAGCCCUCUUGGGUGUCUGCGAAAUUUCGCAGGCCUCAUUUUUCACCUGCGAAAUGGCUCCUGAAGCCUCCCGAAGCUUGCUACCGACAUUGGGAGAUAUUUUCCAUUAGAUUUUUGUUGUCUAAAUCCCAAAAUACUCCUUGUAAACCACCAAUUACAUGAUUCCUUAGUUUUUAAGUUAGUAAAAAGACCAAAUAUCUUUGUAACAAUUAGUUUUAUAUUUUGUUGUUAUAAAUACCUCUCGGGAGCCUGUUCUCAGGGAGGAGUUCCUUCUGUAAACGUUUGGUAAGCAAGUAAAGUCUAUUUUCUUUCUACUGCCUUACCUUCUCACUUUGUAUUUUCAUUUUAUUUCUAAGUUAUGAAUUCUCUGAGGAGUUUUCCCCAAAGAAUGAGUAACUAAACCUCCAAUUCCUUGGAGCUAAGGUUGCCGGGGAAGGUUCCAAGUGCAAGAAUGCAAAGCUCUGUGGUUUUAGCUAGUAAUGAAGAGGAAGUGAAAUCCUUUAGUGAUUUCAAUGUUUUUAGUUAACUUAAAACACUUUGGAGUCACCUGGGCCAACACUUGGUAAGGCAAGUGAUUUCCAACCAUGGAAAUGCACUAGUUUACCCCUUGCGAGCCUCUGGUAGGUGACUUCAAGGUAGGAUUUUCUGGAAUUACCAACACUUGGUAAGCUUUUGGACUCCUAGGAGACAUCCAUUAGUUAUCUCUUGCGAGUUUGUGAAGGGAAUCCAAGGUUAAAGAUCACCUUGAAUGGUAAGUGCUCGUGAGAGGCAUGAACCAUUGCAAGUUGUAUCAGUGAGAGAAUUAAAGUGAAAUCUAAUUGAAGGAGUCUUUGUACAUCACCGGUUAGAGAAUUGACUAUAAGUUGAAUCUCUAAUGCGAGGAAAUGAACCAACUGACCAGAGCCGUGUCUUUUGCAUGAGGAACCACCCCAGUGAACCUAAAUCUCCAAGGAAUGUUUUUUUCUUCCUAAAUUAUUCCAAACUUCUGUUAAGUUAGUUAGUUUAAAUCUCAACCUUUACAAAUCAAAGUUUGUGUUUUAUUCCUUAAGCUAACCGUGAAAUGAAACAAGACCAAUUCACUUGGAAUUGGUAUCAUUGAUUGCCUGCAAAUCAUUCCCAAUGAACGAUCCUAGAGCCACUAUACUAUAGUAGCUUUGUAUUUACUACCCUAGUGUAUGGUGUUAUAGGUAUAAAUUUUGUUGAUCACUUCCUCAAUCAAGGAGCACCAGCUGAACACAAAUCAGCUGAGACACCAAUUAGGCAUGAGUCAGUCAUCUCCAUUAUUGUUUUAUUUUUUCUUUCCACCACCCCAUUUUGUUGUGGGGUGUAUGGUGCAAUGAGCUGGUGAUCUAUGCCUGCAUCUUCACAAAAUUUGUUGAAUUUUUCUGAAGUAUAUUCUGUACCAUUAUUCGACCUUAUAACCUUGAUUCUGUAUUCACUUUGAUUUUCAACCAUGGCCUUAUAUCUCAAAAACACAUCAGCAACCUCAGCUUUGUAAGUGAGAAAAUAAAUCCAACAAAAUCUUGUGAAGUCAUCAAUAAAUGCAAUAUAGUACUUACUCCCUUUCAAAGAUGGUGUCUUUUGAGGUCCACUCACAUCUGUGUGAACCAAUUGUAGUUUCUGUGUUGAUUUCCAUGCUGCUUUUUGAGGAAAAGGAAGUCUUGUUUGCUUCCCAUAUUGAUAGGCUGCACAUAUAGGAAGUUCUUCUUCCAAAUCAGGGAGUCCUUCUACAAUCUAAUUCUUCUUCAUGUAGAGCACGGUAUUGUGGUGGAAAUGCCCUAAUCUUUUAUGCCAAAGCAUUGUAUUGUUCUCGUGUUGUGCAGCAGUAAUUUGCUCAUCUUCUAACAUAUUUAAGGCAAAACUUUUGCCUUUCAUUUUUAUGUUGAACACCUCUUUGCCUUCAGCAUCCUUGAUUAUGCAAUUUUUGUCUUCAAAACAAACUUUAAACCCUUUCUCAACAAGCUGUCCAACACUUAGCAAAUUUUGGUCAAUGUCAGGCACAAACAAAACAUCAGAAAUGAGCUUUAAACCUGUUAGGCUUUCAAUAGCUAAUGUUCUUUUACCUUUUACUGGAAUAUACUCACCAUUUCCUAUUCUAACUUUGGAAAUAGUUGUCCUAUCAAUCUCCCUAAAGCGAUCUUGAUCAUGUCAUGUGGUUUGUGCAACCACUGUCCACGAGCCAGCUUUCAGAGGUGCUACCGUUUGCAAAACAUGUUGCUGAAAAUAGUUGUUCCUCCUGGUAUUGUUCAGCUGCUACAUUGGUUUCUCCCUGCUGCUGCUGAGUUCUACAGAUCCUUUCUAUGUGUCCAUGUCUACCACAUUUGUUGCAUUUCACAUCUGGUCUCCACCAACAUUUUUGUUGAGGAUGAUUUGUUUUCUUGCAAUGAGGACAGGGUGGAUAGGUUCCAGUUUUUUUAUUGUUGUUGUUGCUUGGCUUAUUGUUGUUCUUUUUGUUCUUCCUCCUUCUUGUGUUACCUUCAUUGGUCUGUGUCUUUGCUUGAAAAGCUCCUUCUACAGAACUUCCUUGCCUCAUGAGUCUUCUUUGUUCCAAAGCUUGUAAAGCAUUUAGUAGUUCUGCCAAGGUGAUACUUGACAAAUCUUUUGUGUUUUCCAAAGAAGAAAUUGUAGCUUCAUAUUUUUCAGGAAUUGUGACAAAAUUGUUUUGAACAACUCUUUCAUCAGAAAACUCUUUACCUAGCAACCUCACCUUGUUUGCUAUGGUAAGAAGUUGUUCUGCAUAAUCUUUUAUGGUUUGAGACUCUUUCAUCCUCACCAUUUCAAAUUCUCGAAUUAGAUUCAUUACCUGCACAUUUCUGACUCUUUCAUUGCCUUGAUAUUCUUCCCGUAGAUGCUUCCAGAUUUCUGCAACAGAUUCAAGUUGCAUGAUUCUGGUGAGAAUUAAUGGUGAGACUACAGAAAAUAAGCAAGCCUUGGCCUUAGCCUUCCUCGUCUUUUUCUCCUUAUGGUUUUUCAUCUGUGACACAGUUGGAUUGGCUCCAAGUGGAGAAAUUUCAUAAUCUUCCUCUAUUGCUUCCCAGACAUCAAGAGCCUGUAGAUGAACAGUCAUCCUGACAGCCUAAGUUUGGUAAUUUUCUCCAUUGAAGACUAGUGGUGCUGCUGUGAAGCUUGCUUCUUCCAUUUCUGCAAGGUUUUCAGAUUCAGGUUUGGUAUACGGUGUUUAGGCUCACACACCUCACUGGUCCCUCAAGACAAAAAUUGCUCUGAUACCAAACUGUUGGAAGCAGGCGAGGUUAACACACCAAGCAACAGAGAACAGAGAUAUGCUGCUACUGAUCUAUAUUUUUUAUUUGAUCAUAAGGCUGAAUUUAUACAGAUUGUGUAACAUAUAUGACCUCAAAAAAAGCAUCAAAUCAAGCUACUUGUUGAACAAAAAACUACCUCCUACAAAAUAGCAUCAGAAUUUAACUUAAAAGCAAAAACAUAAUAAUAGCAACAGCAAAAACAGAAACAUAAAAAUAGCUUCAACAUUCUAGUAAUCUCAUUGACUUCAAUUGCAUGUGGUUGACGAUUUCAGCCUUUUCCUCAGCAGCUACUAAGGCAUAACUCUCAACAGGGCCUCUUAAUUUCCAUUCUGGCAUCUAUAUGACCUGAUAAAUAGAAAGAAAAAAAAACAGAAGAAAAGCGGCACCUGGGUUCAUAGUAAGCAUCAAGACAGGAUGCUGAAAGAAGGGAGAGAGGAGAUUGCAAGUCCAAUCCUGAUAAAAUAUCAACAAAGAGUAUUAAAUGGGGCCAACAUAAAGACCCAUUAAGGUCAGCAGAUGGCAUGGCAUUUUUCUCCUUAAGUUUUCCAUGAUUAGGCUUGAAGUCAAAAUUUCACAUGUAAAUUUGUAUUUCUACAUUUCCCACUGACGACACCCAACUUCAACUUGAGUUAGAAUAACAUUGUGUGAACUUAUCUGGCCCUCAAAAUUUACUGUGAAGUGCUUUCUGCGUGUGAAGAUUCAGAAAAGCACCAAGGGAACAUGUAUGGUCUGCCUUUUUCUGAUGUUAUGUUUGUCUCUAAUUCUGUUCCAUGUCAUGGUAAAUGUUCACAUUGCUUGUAUGGAACACACCAGGAUCACUUUUUCAGGUUUAGGGGGAUACAAAAGGCUUCAUAUUGGGUUCAAUGCUUUUAAUGUGUUCAUUGGACAAAUCUGAAUUAUCAUACGCAUUUAGAUAAGAACAAUAAUGUGAAACCCUAGUUACACCUCCCCUGCAUAACCCCAACCCUGCUUGCUCUAUUUCAGUUUACUCACAAGUUUUACUGGUUCUUAUAAGUCAAGAAAAGGCAACUGAUGUUGGAUCGACUCUCUUCCAUGUAAAAAAUGCAACUUUUAUACAUAUAAAAGAACUUCUUCCCCUCACCAAUGUGGGAUUUCAUAGAUUUAUUCUGGAAACACAUCAAAGGAACAUCUUUUCUCUUGGGUGACCCUAAGUGGUGAGUCAGAUCAUUUGCAUGCCAUUGAGUUGCACAGUUGGAUAAAUGCACCUGCCUCCUGGGCUCCAGAGUUAAAAGGGUGGAUCCCUGGAUUGCAACCCUCUUGGCAUCUUGGUUUCUAUUCCAACAUCCACAUGACUUGACAAAACAAAAAACAGAAUAAAAUCAGCACUAUAUUCAUGCUAAGCACCAAUACAUGAUGGAAAUCAUUGCUUAAAGAUUUGGGGUCGUUUUAGGUUUUGACUGCCUCCUACCACCUCACCUAAUGACAAGUUUUUAUGCUUACAAAUCAAAUAUCGUUCUUCAUUAUAUUAAAAUCAUUUUAAGAUUUCAGAUCCAUCUGCUAAUUAUGAUUAUGAUAACAUUUAUUCACCUGUGCUUCUCAUUUUCGACACACAAGGCAUCUAGGUUUGCAGGAUUUCCUUAUUAGAUGAGAUAAAUGAGUACGUAUGGUUAUGUAUCCAGCAUUCAUUAACCAUGGUAUGUGACAUUUAGAAUUAAGAUAGCAAGCAAACUUUCCCUGCAGCUAGAGUAAAUUGUGAUUUCUUAGCCUCUAUGAGUGGUUCCCAAAUCAAAUUAACAUAGUGAAAUAUACGUAGUCCAGUGAAAGGAAAUGUAAAUUAUAAACUAACAGCACUACACUACUGGUAACAAUCGAUACUCUCUAUAUAAUGCAAUAAACAAUGUCACAAUUGCCUACAAGCAAGGCACAAACACUAGAACAAGUAAAGCACAAACCUUUCCCAACAGUUCCCAGUGACUGAUGCAUAUCAUACCCUCAACUCACAGAAGGGGAUGAUAUCAGUGCACUGCAGCACUUAUUUUACACAUACUACCACUACUACUACUACUACUACUACUCAUUAGCCAAAGUCACUCAGUUGGGAUGAGUGUGAGGUAGAGGUUUGUGGGGUGCUAUGUGGAAAGGAGUUUGGCUUCUUCUCAGGAGAUGGUAGCUUCUUUGCAGGAGUUGAAGGAGGCUUAAUCUUCUGUGGUGGAUUGAUUGUAUGAGUCUUUGGCACUCUCUUCUCUAGUACAGGUGAAUACCCAGGGGUGCAUCCAUAAUGCGGUGGCUUCUAUCCCUUAGGUGGUUUGCCAAAU